GGGCUUAGUAUUUUUAAAAUUUUUAUUUUCUUUUCAAGAUAGCAUGAUUAACUAAUAAGCUAUUUAAGGAAAGUAAGUAAUUAAAGGAAAAAGGGAAUGCAGAAAGGAUAAAUAUGGACAACUACCGAUUUUACCUUUCGGUGAGGGUUCAAUGUUGUAAGUCUUGUGAACAAGACUUCUCACCGUGUUCAUUCUUCAGGUGCGUUAUUUGAUUCAGGUGCGGACCUUGACGUCUUCUCCUCUUGAUACAGUGUCACCCAUGUUCUUCGUUUGCCCAGCAGUUCAAAGUGUGGCGUUGGCAGUAUCUUGCUCAGUGUGUUUGUGCUCGUAGAUCCAGGUCUUUCACUUGGUGGAAUCUGGGAGUUGUAAAACUCCACCAUGUUUUGCUCCAAGUGUACCUGCUCAUAGAGACGAGGCAGAGAUCAAGUGCAUGGGUCCUGUUGGUGGAAAACACCAAUAGAACCAAAAGUGUAUUUGUUUUUCUCUAAACCUAAGCAUAGUGAGCAAAACAAGGUUGAUGGAUAAUAAAAUCAUGAGUGUAGCAUUUAAAACAUUUGUCAGAUCAGAUGGCUCAACCUAAUGGAAAGAUAAUCUAUGUAUAUGUCUUUUUCUUUAUAUCUUGCCAAAGAUUGAAUGUGUAACAUUUUAGCUCAUAUGAUUAGGAGUGUGGGAUCAUGGAGGUAGUACUAGGAACAAAGAUUAAAGGACUAAGCAUGCUGAAUCAGUUGGGUUGGUUAAUUUGGAGUUAUAAAUCAUACAUGUUUGUCUCUUUAUUUAUGUGAAUGCCAGAACCAAGGAGAAGCUUAUAAAAGUGAUAUCCAGAUAAGAUGUUACCUUAAUUGAAGAGUGAUGGUACCAUCUCACCUUGUGGAAGCUUCCCAUUCGUAGUGGUUGUGUAUCUUGUUUAUGUACUUUGUCUCCUUCCAUGGAUCAUCUCUCUAUGAUGAAUGAGCUAUGUCCUUCUUGUGCAAAUUGUUAAACUUCAUAUGUCUCUCUCUUCAUCUCUGUUGUGAGUUUGUCUCAGGACUUCCCAAGUCGAUAUUGAAAGUUUUCCUGCAGGGGUUAGUCCAACAAAAUAUACCAAUGUCUACACAAGCAGUUUUUAGUUCAAUAACCGAACUAGACUCCAUGUCUAAUCAGAUUAAGAAAGGCUGUUUAACCUAAGCACCAUGCUUAAUUUAAAAGCCAAUAGAAGUAUGUGCAGUACUUCCAAACUAACACUUACUAGGAUAAACAAAGGUAGCGUGAUGGCAUUUAUAGAGUUCUACUCAAGUGGAGAUGAAGUAGUGUGAUUAGUAUUUAACAAAUUGAGCAUGUCUCAAAGGUAGGGACAACCAACAUAGCAACACGGCAAAGGAUGUUUUUAUGUACAGUACUCCCCCAAGCUUGAAUUUUGCAAAAUUCAAGUUUGGGUGAAUUUAAUUCAAUGUUGUAUGAUGAUUGGUUGGACAUACCUUGUGCUUGUCAUUCAUCCAAUCUUCUUGCUCCAAUCAUGGAAAGGUUAGUGACAAGAAUACCCGAAGGAAUAUUUUCACAAUUAUCCUUAUAUGCUCAAUACACAAGGUAAUGUUGCAAAUAAUUAAAAGCUCAUGUUACGAUCUAAUCAGUGCUUAUUUUAGGACACUAAGCUUGUCCUUGGGAAACCAUCAAUUUAUGUCGGCGAAGUGGUUUCCCUUCCAACGCUGACCUAUAUCAAGAUCAACUCAACGAGAUCUGCAAUAUUUAUUAUAGACAUAUGCAUCGACAACCGCCCUUUUAAAGUUUUUAUGAAUAGAAAGGAAGAGGGGGUUGGAGAUCUCAAAUGUGGUGAUGUUGGAGAGACCAAUAGAUUGGGAAGAUGUUGCAUAUGAGCAUGGAGUAAAUGAGGUGGCUAUGAAAUAAAUUCCAUGCUCAUUAAUGUUAUCUUCGUCUCCAAUCUGAAUGUUCGGAGUUUCUCCUAGAUUGGUCUCACCUAUGUCCUCUUCUGUAGUUGGAUGAAUCUCAUCUUCAAAGGGAGUCAAGAACUCACCAUUUGAAAUUGAGCCAAAGUCAGAAUCUAUUAAGGCUUCUUCCUUAUCCAUCCAUUCUACACAUUCUAGCCAUCUAGAACUUGUGAUCAGGAAAGGGGAGGUGUUAGAGUUUUCUAUAUGGCUUAGCUCUCCUUCACUUGAUAUGUCAUCCUCGACUUCUUCAUAACAGGAACCAGGACGUUCUCUAAGAGAACCAUUAUUGCAAGGACUUGGAUUAUCCCUGCUUGAAGGUUUCUUAUGGAACCAGAAGUCUAAACCAUCAGUAUCUGAAAGAUUUAAGGUCGGAAUUCCUUCCUCCCUUUAAGAAUUUUGGGGUAUUGAUGGUUUAGGACGAUAGCUAAAGUUUGGGAUUGAAGUGGUUGUGAUCUGGCUAUCGAAACUUUUUCUUCUUGUCUAGGAACUGGUUCUUUCUCUUUAUCAGGGAUAUAAAAGCUAGGAGACUUUCCGCUCAUUAAAUCAAUCAAAUUCCAAGCUUCACUAGCAGGUAGGUGAUAGAAGGAUCCUCUAGAGGCUGUAUUCAAGGUUUGCUUAUUUUCCCUACUAAGGCCCUCAAAAAAGUGAAUUAGAAGAACUUCUGGAAUAGAAAGCUUUGGGCCAGUGAGAGUAAGGUUAAUAAAGCGGUCCCAUGAUUUGCCAAGAGAUUCUUCUUCCAGUUGUCUAAAAGAAAUAAUCUCACGCCGAAGUUCCGUCACUUUAGAGAAUGGAAAAUAUUUUAAAAGAAAACUAUUAUGUAACUCCUUCCAAUCUCCAUGAACACUCCCUACUUUGAGUUUAUACCAAUGUCUAGCUUUUCCUAUUAAAGAGAAUGGAAAGAGCUUCUAUUUAAGGGUCUCAUCGGAUAUGCCUUCAAUGCGAAGGAGGUCACAGACUCGAUAAAACUCUCUUAGGUGUGUGUAUGGGUUUUCCUCACCUUCACCUGAGAAAGGUUGUUUUUGAACAAAUUCUAUGUAUUCGGGGUCUAUCUCAAAACUAGAAGCUAUGAUAGGCUUUGAAGAUUUUGGUGGUUCGAGAUGUGUGCCCAUAGGUCUAUUAAACUUAUAGAUAAACAUGUUUGUAUUCAUGAUAGACCAGAGAUCAAGGAUUAGAUAAGAAGAAAGAAUAACAGAGAUGAGGCAAAGUAUAAAAGGAAAAUAUUUUUUUAUUUUUUUAGAAAAUGAUUAAGCUAGUUCGUAGUCAACUCAGCAACCGUCUCCUCGGCAACGGCGCCAAAAAUGCUUGUUGACACUUGCUAACACCACUUGAAUACUAGGUUGUCAUCCCAGCAUGGCACUAGAGUGUACUAUGGUAUUUAUACGCACACAGAUAAUCCGCAAGCGCACGGAUACUGUUGUAGCUUUUACGCGGUUAAAGGUUUUAUCGUAUCCACAGGGAAACGGGAGAACCAACUACGCUCUAACUUAGCCAAGAUAGAUAGAUAAGUGUAAAUAGGAAAGAUGAUAGAAUUGAAUAAGAACAAUAUUAAAGGUAAGAUAAUAAUGGGUGAUAAUAGGGGAAUAGAGAGUUGAGCAAUCUAGUAUAAGGGCAAUGGUAGCAGAAUAGAGAGAAUAACUAUGGUUUCUCUACUUCAAAGGGGUAUGUCUAUGUCUGGGACGAACCACGUGAUAAGAAUACACCACAAAGGAUGCUUAUCCAUAGGCCGAUAAACCCUACCCGUUCUGCUAACAGGAGGUGGACUACAGGGGACCAACGUAACUGUCACCUACGCGGCCUACCACACGAUCCAGCUAGACAGGGGAUAUCCACAAGUAAUCUAGGUCUAAGCACCACGCUUACACCUAUACUACAACUCUAACCUAUAGGGUCCUAUAGAUUUGAAGUACUGUUGAUAUUUGGUAACGCAAUUAGAAAAUGAUCCGCAAGCGUACGGAUAUCGGUGAGCAUUCCACCCGGGAGGUUUUCCAGAGUAUUGUAUUUAUAUUUUUACCACUGGGAGAAAGGGUGCAUCUGACUAACCAAAUCUAUUGCUACUACCCCUUUAGGCUACAAAGAAUGUUUCUCGAUGUGAGCGAUGUAUAGAGAAGACUGCAACCGUAGUCUCGUUCUAACCUUGGUAAGGAUGAUCUACUGUUCUAUUUGGGAAGCUUACGGAAUCUAGACACCACAAAGGAUGUUCGACCCGCACCUAUAAACCUACCCGUCCUGCUAACGAGAUAUGGUCUGCAAAGGUAACUCGGAAAUGUCACGUUCCUCGCUACUAUCACGGUACAGCUAGUCAGGGGAUAUCUAUGAGUACCCUAGCCUAAACACCAUGUUUACGCUAGCAAUGAUUACUCUAAUACUCAACCGAAAGAGGAUUAAAGUAAACUCAUAAACCAAAGAACAAUAAAACAAGAACUUACUAGAAUUAGAAUUCGAAUUACUGAAGAAUCUUAGGAGCAAGCCUCGGGUUAGAAGACUUGAUCUCGCAGGUACAACUCAGAGUAGACACCGACAGGCCAGCCUUCCUCCAAUCUACACCUCCACUCUAUCUGUCUCAAUCUAGUAGAAACUAGAAGAUCUAUUUCUACUUACAUUGGUUGCUAAGCCUAAAAAGAAAUUCUAUUUAGAGAAGAGGUUUUCCUUCGAGGGCACCCCUCAACUCUAUGAUAAACUUCUUGUCUUCUCCAGGGGCCAGGGGGGUCUCCUUAUAUAGUCCUCCUCCUCUAUGCGUUUUUGGGUCGGUAGGCGAUGUGGUACUACGUUAUCCUUGAUCCUGUAGGUCGGUGGAACGUCGUGUGCGAAGAGAGUCCUGAUUGACAUCCAGGAGAGGGCGGGCGCCCAGGUCCUCAGGGCGGGCGCCCUGGGCCUGGCCCCUUUCGGCCUCUGCUUUCUUCCCGUGGCUUCUGGAGUCUUCUAGAUGGUAGAAAAUUGCGCGGUGCGUUGAUAUCUCUAUGUAAUCCCGACAUGUGGGCCUUUCUUCAUAUUUCCUGAUAACCCCAUGCAGAAAUAGACAAACACCAAAACUCAUGGAAUUCUGUCAGAUAAAACACUAAGUCUGAGUGUUGGUUGCAUUUGGAUCCUUUUCUUUAUUUAUUUGAUGAUUAUAUUUGGUACUUAAGGACCGUCAACAACUACCCAAGCUUACCUCUUGCUCGUCCCUGAGCAAGGAUGAACUCAAGAGUUUCUGCAGUGGUUUCAUGCCUUAAAAGUACACACGCAUUCAAGCAAGAUCUCAUCUCUGAGUUAGAGUAAACUGUUAAGACUUUAAAACUUACUCAUUUUACCUUUCACCACGGGGCUUGUAACCGUCACUUGUGUCUUGAGCAGUUAAAAGAUAGAACGGUCAAGUCAAGCGCCAUGUUUCUUAUUCUUGAUCAGCUAUAGCUCUGGAGUUUUUGCAGAUUUUCAAAUAAAACUCAGAGAUUCCUUAUAUGAUUCUCUCAGAUCUCUCUUUUGUGGUAUUUCUGGAUCUUUUCCAAGGCAGUAAUGGUAUAUGCCUUCUCUCAAAGUAUGUGGUAUUUGUGGUAUGAGGCAUAGUGAUAUUGCCUUCUCUCUCACCCUACUCUAAUAAGGUUUUGAUAUCUGGAGCUCAUAGGUGGGAGACAGAUAAUACAUACUUACAAGACAUUUAUUGCAUAGUCAAACCAUGGAUCCAGAGAAACAAGUCAAUAAGUCAAAUCAAGAUGUGCAUGUGUGGCGAGUGAAUGGUGCAUGGUGAUGAUGGUGAUAACAAUGGUGAAAGUCUAAUUCUACUUUUGCUCUUUUGAGGGGAUACAUACCUUUCUUGCACUUUGAAGUUUUUUGAGGAGAAUGAGAUGCUCUAUAUUUUCUUUUUUCUUUCCUCUCAGGUGGGUAUCUUGUACCCCUAAUUCUACUGUCGGACACUUGUCCAUUUUUACCUCUCGUCUCACUUUUUCUUUUCUUUGAGGUUCCGAGAACUUGCCCCUUUUUAUUUCCUCGUAUCCUUUCUCUCUUUUUAUUUCUUUUCUUCUUCUUUUUUUAGAGCACUCAUCUCCUGAAAUAAUGUAGCAAGUGGUAGUAACCAAAAUAACUGGAGCAUUUAUUUCACAGGGAAUAACAGGGAUAGGAAAAUCUUUUUGGCUAUUCUCUCCCGGAUUAGGAGUAGAAUACUUUUGGGUGGCUCUGGAGAUGGAAGUGAGUGGAUAUAUGCGGAUGCGUACUUCCGGAGUAGAAGCAGCAAGUGUGAAGCGCCCCUGGUAAACUAGGAACUCAAAUGUGAUACAAUACUAGUCCCAGGAGGCUAGUAACACAUUUAUUACAUCAGAUAAGUUUCAGCGCAGUAGUCUCGAUAAGCGUGGACAAUGAAGGCACGCUAUAAUAAUAAGACACCAAAAUACAACAUAGGUCCAAAGGACCCAGAAACAAACGAUAUCGCCAUUGAACAUCUGACGAGUCCCAAUGCCACAGGCUUAGUUGGGUGCAGACACGACCUUACUCGAACGCCACUUCGGGAUCGAAGUCCGGAUCUUCCUCUGUUUAAUAAAGCGAGGGUGAGUACAAAGUACUCAGCAAAUCCAACCUUACCCUACGGAAGGGGAUAACAGUAUAUAUGCAUAUGGAUAAAUCAAGGAUGAGGCUUAGUUUUAUUUGCAUAAAGCUAUCUUUUUACACAUGCAAGGUUUCAUUUCACAAAUACUGUUGUAAAAGAACUCUUUUUCCACAUAUGAUAGUAUUUCUGAAAAUGGGGGUUUGAUCACAAUUUUAAGUGUUGUUGAACCCUUGUUCCCACAACACAAUGGCAGUCAACCAUUUAUUUCCAAAAUCACACUCUCUCACAUGCUUUCACUCGUACCAACCCAUCUAGUUGUUGAAACCGAACCAUAACCCGUCCGAGACCGCGGACACGGCUAUCCAGAUAGAUUUACACUCUGCAGAGGUUGUACACUUUUCCCACAAAUAGGAUACCAUAACUUACACCGUCGUGCAAGCACAGAUCCAUCAAAGUCAUUACCCUCCAUAGCUAAGUAAUGGCGCUCACCACGGGAACACUAAGGCCACAUCUCCUGAUACCACAAUAAUUCACAAAGCUCUUUUCAUAUAUUUCCACAAUUUCACAUACAUCACUUAGUGUCCCGUUGCACACCUGCCUCCAGGUGAUUGCCAUACUAACUAGAGGGAUUUAGACUAAGCCUUUCCCAUGCAAGGCGAGUGGUUGUACGAUAAAUGAGUUAGGCAAGAUGAAUCAUCAACUCAGUCCUUAAUCGAGACAAGGCGGAUAUCUUCACGCUUAACCCCGCAAGGUAUAAGCCACAACACCAGGGCAUCCCCAAAAGAGAUCCCAUCCGCCCCAUCUCCAUAGUAAUCACAUCUAUAACUUGUUCAUUAACCCUUUCACAAUACCCACAAUUUAUUUUCACCACUCACACCUUUUACUUUUAAAAUCAUUAUAUUUGAUAAAAUAUAGCGAUGAGUAUCCAGGAUGAGUAAUAAGUCCUAAGCAUACUAAAUAAUAAUAUUUCUGUCAUAGCAUAUUAUUUGUUCCUAGGUUCGAACAAGACAAUUAUCGGGUAAUAUCAAUUCAAGGAUGGCUAUUCAACAGGUUUUAACUAAGCAGCGAAAAUACUUCGUACAUAUAUCGUACAUGCAAUAUUUAAAACGGCUUCUACGGGUUGUGUUUAAAAAUAGGAUCAAUAUGCAUCAAAGGGGAUCGGUUGGACUUGCCUCCGUCGGCGUCCUCGGCAAACUCCUGCUGACAGUACGGGUCCUCGGCGUCAAACUCGCGGUACUCGUUUCCAACGUUCUCGUUUUCCGGCUCGUUCACUCCGUCAACUAAAAUACGCGACGAACGACACAAACAACAGGCACAGAUAAAUAAUCAUAUAAAUUUAAAUGAGCUCCAAAAAUCAUGAAAUUAAUAUGGAAGGUAGAUCAUGAUUUUAGAUGAAUUUAGGAAAAAGAAUUAUUGAAAUCAGAGUUAGCAUGUGGCAUUUGUGAAAUGGCCGGAAUUUAAUCAUGCGAAAAAGACUAACGAUGAUUAAGGAAUGGAUGCUUCACGUGGGCAUUUGUUUGGCUGUUAGUGCAUGUUGCAUGCAUGCAUGUACUAUUUGGAGUUAAUGCUUGGCCCACACAUGCAUGGUUAGAGAGAAAUUAGCAGGGGUCAUUAGAACUCUUCUGUAUGUCAUGGUUCUAUUCGUGGAGUUCUUGGCAGUGAACCGGUACAGACAAAUACAUGGAAAAAAUACAGAAAAAAAUACUACAGAAAGACAGAGAAGAGCAAGGAGAUGCUCAUGAGCUGCUCACCUCGUCUUGCGACGACAGUCGAGCUCAGCUUGUGCGUAUGGCCGUAUACGGUAUACGCGAAGUGAGAGUGAGUGAGCGAGUGAGUGAACGUGUUUCUCGGGUGGUGAGAGUGAGCAUCCGAGGCUGGCUUUUUAUAGCCAGAGGAGUGAGGUUAUGCCUCUGGUGCUCAGCUUCGUGCCAUUAGAAUUGCUACUGUAGUGCAUGGCUACACAGGACGACAGGACGGUGGACGGUGCCUAAUUUUCAUGCAAAUGGCAAUGUCUCAUUUGCAUGCACGGUGCGUGCAAAUGGACGGUGCCUAAUCACCAUGUCCUUUGCAUGCAGGUGCAUGCAAAUGGACGGUGGCAUGCUUGUCCUGCAUGCAUGCAUGAGAUAUAUAUUCGUGUAGGUGCACUGCUAUGUUUUCUCGCAUGUAAGCUUGCUGGUACUUGCUAUCUUUUUGUACAACAAAAGAGGCGCGGGAAAAGGCAAGAGGUGGGGCCCGCAUGCCGCGGUGCGCGCGCGAGCGAGUGCGCUCGGCGAGGGGGCCGGGCGUGAGGGCGCUGCGGCGCUGAUGGUGGUGGGGUCGGCGCACGCGCCGUUGCCGGGUAUCGGGCAGAGCGAGCGAGCAAGAGGGAUAAGUAGCGGACAUAUGAUGCUCAUGCCAUGCGGUGCAGGUUAUAUUUAAAGAUGGAUAAUUAGAAUGGAUGGAAAAAGAAUUAGAUGGAGAUACUAUAGAGCUCAAAUGAUUUAUAGUUUUUGAAAUAUAUUUUGAAAAUAAUUUUUUUAAUGCGAGUGAUUUUUGAAUGAGAAUUUUUGGAUGUUACAAAGUGUGAUUGAACGUGCAAGUGAAUCUUGAUUUAACCACAUGACAAGCUCCUAAGGGUCUACACAGCUUGACCACACUCAAUGCUCAUAAGCAGUAAAAAGUAAAUGUGUGGCUCAAAGUCUAAUAAGCAUGUAUAUAUGGCUGUGAUAGGAUUUUAAACUCUCAUCAUACAGGAACUCAUCAUGUGAUAUUUUAAAGAUUUUUCAAAGAUAAAAUUCUCCAAAAUUCUAGCAUCUCUAGGAACAUAUAAACAGCAGCUCAACCUUCCCAUAUCAUAUCCAUUAACGACUUAGACUUUAGAUCAAGUACUCUUCCCACAAGUUCAGGUUUAGAGCAAAUCUUACUUCAUAACAGUCAUGCCUAAACUUGAGAGAGAUUUCAAUUUUAAGAACUACUCAUGGCAGAGCAACUAUUCAUCAUUUCCAUGUGAGAGUUUAUCAUGAGGGUUCAUAGCAAACUUUAUUUAUUUAUUUAUUUAGCAAACUAAGCAAAGAUAUAUAUAUAUAUAUAACAGCACAAAAUCUUUAUUUGGGUUUUCAUGAUUAUGCAUCUUUUAUUAUUUGAGUAAAGUAUAAACGCGAGUAGAAACACUUAGCUAGAUAAAUGGGGGUGCUCUCCCCCAAGCUGGAUUUUGACGUAAUUUCUUCUGAUGUAGCUAGCAGGUGAUGGAGGUGUAUUUGAAAGUCGGCAGCACCCUGACAGCAAUUAGGAUGUCCUCCAUCUGCUAGUCUUCUUUGAUCCUUGAAUUCUGUGGAGCUCAAAUAGACAACAAAGCUUUGUGGAACUGGUUAAGUGUUAGCAUAAAUAUCUAGCCUUUAUCAUAUUUAGCCUCCUUAAUAAAUGUUACUUAUUUAGCAGGAUCAUGCACUUAUUAUUUUUAUAUUUUUAUUGUAAGAUGAAAACUUAUUUAUUUUAUUUUUAUGCCACCACAGUGAAUGUACUUAUGGGUUUUAUGCCAUGAGCAUACUCACAUGGGGCUUACUAUUUUUUAACAUUUUUAUUUUCUUUUCAAGAUAGCAUGAACCUGAUUAACUAAGCAAACUAUAAUUGAAUAAUUGAAAGGAAAAGGAUAACUACCAAGUUUACCUCUUGGCAAGGCGUUCGGUGUUUUUAAGUCCUCCGAACGGGACUCCUUGAGUUUUUAGUUGUCCUGGGAUUCGCUAGGUGGCGUAGUCGGUGAUUCCGGCGGCGCCUCUUCUUCGUGUAUAUAUCUUCUCUCUCCACACCUGACUCGGUACUACAGUCUCCUCAGGAUAGUUCUGUUCAAGCUGUAUGUCUUCAGUCCUUAUCACCUCUCCUUCGUAGUCUACCCAUCCGUCCUUGAUGAUUUGUCUCCUCUGGUUUCGGUUGCGUCGCCUUCUUCUUGUCUGACCUGCUUAGAGUCUUCAACUAUAUAGUUAAGGUCAGUAAAAUAGCGGCGUACCUUCUCAGAUGGGAAGUGCAUGUGGACUUCUCUAGUUCCAAUAUAGAUGAUGGCUUUGAUAGUGUUGAGGAACGGUCUUCCAAGGAUGAUGGGUGGAUCGUACUCGUUUUCUCCUAUGUCAAUGACCUGAAAAUCAUUUGGAGCUGAAUGUAUAUUGGUUGUAGGGGCAUGGUUCCUUGCAGGAGCUAAUAAGUGACUGCGGCCAUUAUGUUGUCGUCAGAUCCGGUGUCAUAGAGUGUCUUCUGAAAAGAGUAUCCAUUGAUGGUGCACUCGAUGCUUGGAACACCAGGGUCGUCCUUCAUUAGGAAAGGCGACUUGAGUCGACGAUUUUGACCUCUUUGACUUGCAGUGACCAUCUUAGCUGACUCGGUCCAUAUUUGCUUGUUCCUGUUCCUCCUGUUGGUCCUCUUCCUUGGUUCAUGUCGGGAUUGCUCUAAAAUUUGUGUAGUCUUGUUCUUGAAGGAAAGUCUCCUUCUUCCCCUUGAUGUAGAAACUGAUCUUGGCAGUUUUAACGUAGAUGACAGCUCUGGUAUUUAGGAAUGGCCUCCCUAAGAUGAUGGGUGCCCUCUCCUCAGUACCAGUCUAUGUCACCACGACGUCUGCUAGAGCGUACAAGGUACCAACUCGGACGCAGGGGUUCUUCAAUAUUUCCUUUGGGAAACUGAGUGUCCGAUCUGCAACCCUGGGCAUAAUGUUGAUGCUAGAGCCAAAGUCGCAGAGUGCUUAUGGGAAGUCCACCAUGCCGAUGGAGAUCGGGAUGACGGGGCGUCCAGGAUCACCUCUCUGAGUAAUUAGGCCUCUGUUGAUUCCAACAUUGAUUUUGUUGAGGACGGAGUACACGUCCUCAAGCAUCUCAGGGCAGUGAUUGCCUGAGUGUCCAGUAUCUCCAGUGUGUUUGUGCUCGUAGAUCCCGGUUCUUCUCUUGGUGGAGUCUGGGAGUUAUAAAACUCCUUCAUAUUAUGCUCGAAAUGUUCCUGCUCAUAGAGACAAGGUAGAGAUCAAGUGCAUGGGCCCUGUUGGUGAAAAACACCAACAGAACCAAAAGUGUAUUUGUUCUUCUCUAACCUUAAGCAUAGUGAGCAAGACAAAGUUGAUAGGAUCAUGAGUGUAGCAUUUGAAACAUUUGUCAGAUCAGAUGGCUCAACCUAAUGGAAAGAUAAUCUAUCUAUAUUUAUGUUUUGUUUAUAUCUCCCAAAGAUUGAAUGUGCAACAUUUUAGCUUAUAUGAUUAGGAGUGUGGGAUCACGAAGGUAGUACUAAGAACAAAGAUUAAAGGACUAAACAUGUUGAAUCAGUUGGGUUGGUUAAUUUAGAGUUAUAAAUCAUACAUGUUUGUCUCUUUAUUCAUGUGAACGCUAGAACCAAGGAGAAGCUUAUAAAAGUGAUAGUCAAGUACCUUAAGGUGUUACCUUACUUGAAGAGUGAUGGUAUAGUAUCAUCUCGUGGAAGCUUUCCUUUCUUAGCGGUUAUGCAUCGUGUUUGUGGCACUCUCCAUAGAUCAUCUCUUUAUGAUAAAUGAGCUAUGUCCUUCUUGUGCAAAUUGUUAAAUUUCAUGUGUCUCCUUUAUCUCCAAUGAGUUUGUAUCUCAGGACUUCCUAGGUUGAUAUUGAAUGUUUUCCUGCAGGGGUUAGUCCGACAAAAUAUACCAAUGUCUACUCAAGCAGUUUUUAGUUCAGUAACCAAACUAGACUCCAUGUCUAAUCAGAUUAAGGAAGGCUGUUUAACCUAAGCACCAUGCUUAAUUUAAAAGCCAAUAGAAGUAUGUGCAGUACUUCCAAACUAACACUUACUAGGAUAAACAAAGGUAGCGGGAUGGCAUUUAUAUAGAUCUACUCAAGUGGAGAUGAAGUAGUGUGAUUAGUAUUUAAUCAAUUGAGCAUGUCUCAAAGGUAAGGACAUCCAACGUAGCAACAUGGCAAAUGAUGUUUUUAUGUACGGUAUUUCCCCCAAGCUUGAAUUUUGCAAAAUUCAAUGUUGGAUGAAUUUAAUUCAAUGUUGCAUGAUGAUUGGUUGGACAUACCUUGUGCUUGUCAUUCCUUUGAUCUUCUUGCUCCAAUCCUGGAAAGGUUAGUGACAAGAAUACCCGAAGGAAUAUUUCUACAAUUAUCUUUAUAUGCUCAAUACACAAGGCAAUGUUGCAAAUAAUUAGAAGUUCAUGUUACGAUCUGAUAAGUGCUUGUUUUAGGACACUAAGCUUGUCCUUGGGAAACCAUCCAUCAACUCAACGAGAUCUGCAAUAUUUAUUAUAGACAUAUGCAUCGAGAACCGCUCUUUUAAAGUUUUUAUAAAUGAAGAGGAAGAGGGGGUUGGAGAUCUCAAAUGUGGUAAGGUUGGAGAGACCAAUUGAUUGGAGAGAUGUUUUAUAUGAACAAGGACUUGAUGAGGUAUUUAUGAAAUAACUUCCAUGCUCACUGUUGUUUCUCUCAUUCUCAAACUCCAAGGAUGAUUCUUCAUGAAUGCUUAAAAUUCCUCUAGGAUUGUCUCUCAAGUUUGUUUUAUCUAUCCAUUCAACGGUGAUAGCACAUGGAUUUUUAAUGCCCUCUAGCCACUGAUGUUGCUCUUCUCGAUCCUCCUUGUGGUCUUGGUGACUCUUAUGAAUGGGAUGUCUAGAGAGAUUCAUAGGAUCAUCGGGAGGUUCAAGAGAAAGAGCGUAGUAGAAAUUAUUAGGCUCAAGGAUGGGUUGGAUAGCCGAAUCAUGGGUUUGGAAUGUUUGGAAAUCGGCUAUUGAAACUUCCUUUCCUUGUCUGGGAGACGAUUCCUUCUCUAUCUCUAAGAUUUUUUCUAUGAAGACUAGUACAAGAAGGAUGUCCACGAAUGAAGACAUACCUUCCUUUACUAAUAGAUAAAGAAAGAAAGACUCUACCAAAGAUUAUAUGAUUAAGACCAAUGUGAAAAUAUCUAGGAAAAACAUGGUCUUGUAGGGCUAGGUCUAAACCAGAAUUUAUAGGAAGAUUAACAGAUUCCCUAGGUGUAGCUAAAAGUGCAUUAUCUUUUUGAUUAAAAGUUAGGACCUCGGCUAUGGAAAAGGGUUGGUUUUGACCUAUUGCAAUCAACUCCGGACACAGAUCAUAAUUAGGGGCAGGACUUCUUGACUCCCAUGGUCUAUGGCUGGUCUCCGAAGGUGCAAAGAAUUCAAUAAUAGGUAUGGAAUUUGAGUUAUCCAUAAAGAUAAAAGUAAAAAGAUAAAAGAAUAAAAGUAUAAAAGUAUAAUACAAGAUAAUAGCAAGAUUCAAAGUUAUCUCAGCAAACCGUCUUUCUCCCCGGCAACGGCGCCAGAAAUGCUUGUUGAUAUUUGGUAACGCAAUUAGAAAAUGAUCCGCAAGCGCACGGAUAUCGGUGAGCAUUCCACCCGGGAGGUUUUCCAGAGUAUCGUAUUUAUAUUUUUACCACUGGGAGAAAGGGUGCAUCUGACUAACCAAAUCUAUUGCUACUACCCCUUUAGGCUACAAAGAAUGUUUCUCGAUGUGAGCGAUGUAUAGAGAAGACUGCAACCGUAGUCUCGUUCUAACCUUGGUAAGGAUGAUCUACUGUUCUAUUGGGGAAGCUUACGGAAUCUAGACACCACAAAGGAUGUUUGACCCGCACCUAUAAACCUACCCAUCCUGCUAACGAGAUAUGGUCUGCAAAGGUAACUCGGAAAUGUCAUGUUCCUCGCUACUACCACGGUCCAGCUAGUUAGGGGAUAUCUAUGAGUACCCUAGCCUAAACACCAUGUUUACGCUAGCAAUGAUUACUCUAAUACUCAACCGGAAGAGGAUUAAAGUAAACUCAUAAACCAAAGAACAAUAAAACAAGAACUUACUAGAAUUAGAAGUCGAAUUACUGAAGAAUCUUAGGAGCAAGCCUCGGGUUAGAAGACUUGAUCCCGCAGGUACAACUCGGAGUAGACACCGACACACCGGCAUUCCUCCGAUCUACACCUCCACUCUAUCUCUCUCAAUCUAGUAGAAACUAGAAGAUCUAUUUCUACUUACAUUGGUUGCUAAGCCUAAAAAGAAAUUCUAUUUAGAGAAGAGGUUUUCCUUCGAGGGCACCCCUCAACUCUAUUGUAAACUUCUUGUCUUCUCCAGGGCCAGGGGGGUCUCCUUAUAUAGUCCUCCUCCUCUAUGUGUUUUUGGGUCGGUAGGCGAUGUGGUACUACGUUAUCCUUGAUCCUGUAGGUCGGUGGAACGUCGUGUGCGAAGAGAGUCCUGAUUGGCAUCCAGGAGAGGGCGAGCGCCCAGGUCCUCAGGGCGGGCGCCCUGGGCCUGGCCCCUUUCGGCCUCUGCUUUCUUCCCGUGGCUUCUGGAGUCUUCUAGAUGGUAGAAAAUUGCACGGUGCGUUGAUAUCUCUAUGUAAUCCCGACAUGUGGGCCUUUCUUCCAUAUUUCCUGAUAACCCCAUGCAGAAAUAGACAAACACCAAAACUCAUGGAAUUCUAUCAGAUAAAACCCUAAGUCUGAGUGUUGGUUGCAUUUGGAUCCUUUUCUUUAUUUAUUUGAUGAUUAUAUUUGGUACUCAAGGACCGUCAACAAGUUCUCAAAAGUGUUGUGAACCAGAACAUACAUGAUUAGUAAUUGCAUAAUGAAUUAGAAGUAGAUUACCAGAGUCAUCCCAUGAGCAAGCUUGAUUAGAGCUUGAUCAUGGCAAAGUACAACCGGAGGAAGAACCGACAGGCAGGCCUCUCCUCCAAUCCUCCCUCGCACUGCAUCUUGCUACUUUCUAGAUCUACUCUAGUUUAGAGAUGAGAGGAGAGCUGUCAUCUCCAAACCCUAGCUUUUGCUCUGUCUAUGAAUAAUGAAUAAUGCUCAAGGGGUGCCUCCUCCAGGGGCCAGGGGGUCUGCUUAUAUAGUCCCCUCAAGUGAAUCUGGGCCGUCAGAUCAAACCGACAUUGAUUGAACGGUUAUUCUUGAUCCUUUAGGUCGGUGGAGCAUAAUCCCCGAAGAGAGUCCUGAUUGGACUCUGCAGCUGGGUGGGCGCCCAAGGGGGUAGGGCGGGCGCCCUGCCCCGUGACCGCUCGGCUUCCCGUUCGUUCCCGUGGCUUCUGGAGUCUUCUAGAUGAUAGAAAAUUGCGCGGCACGUUAAUAUCUUUAUGUAAACCCGACGUGUGGGCCUUUCCUCCAUAUUUCCUGAUAACCCCCUGCAGAAAUAGACAAACACCAAAACGCAUGGAAUUCUGUCGGAUAAAGCCCUAAGUUUAGGUGUUUGUUGUAUUUGGAUCCUUUUCUUUGUUUAUUUGCUAAUUAUAUUUGGUACUUAAGGAACGUCAACACGUCCCUCACGGCCGAGGCUAGGACUCCUCGAAGAUCGGGCGAAGAAGAUGAAGGAGCCGAGAGAUCGAGGCAAGAAAGCCGCCGCUGCCGCCGGGAGAAAAGAAGAGAAGAAGGGUCGGGCGGGUACGGAAGAAGGAGAGAGGAGAAAUAACCGCGGGGGCUUAAAUACCACAGUCAAAAGUGAACCACGAGUACUACCGGCCCAAGGGCCGGUACCACCGGCAAGCUAGAGAGGGCCGACUGAGGUUUUGCGGGAAUUUGACCUACCGGUGCUACCGCGCUUUGGCCGGUACCACCGGCUGGAGCCGGUACCACCGGGGCUAGGUGCCGGUACCACCGGCAGGACAGGGAACAACACAAGUGAACUUAAUGUGGCAAACUUAGAACCAAAUCAAACAUGGCCAGAUUUCAUCAAACCAUUUCAAAACAAUGGCCAUGCUUGAGAUGUGAAAAAUAGAUUUUGAUAUAACACUCAAUUUUUCAUAAAGUUUUGACCUUUCUAAUCAAGCAAGUAUGUGCAAGACAUCAAGCCAUGUUACGAGAAUCAACGAUAUUUUGUUCACGCCUGAAAGCACAAAAUCUUGACUCAUCUAGAGGUUUAGUGAAGAUAUCGGCUAACUGAAAUUUGGUUCUCACAUGUUGCACAGCGAUAUCUCCUUUGGAUUUUGUAAGUGCAUUGGUGUCUUUAUGGGUUUGGCCUUGUCCAUGUCAAACUUCUUUAGCAUGUCGGUGGUGUACUUGGUUUGACUUAUGAACGUGCCGUCCUUGAGUUGCUUGAUCUGAAAUCUAAGGAAGUACGUCAACUCCCCCAUCAUGGACAUCUCGAACCUUUUGGUCAUGAUCCUACUAAAUUCCUCACUGAAGUCCGCAUUAGUACUACCAAAUAUAAUGUCAUCGACAUAUAUUUGUCAUAUAAAAAUAUCAUUAUUGACUUUGUGAGUAAAUAAAGUGGGAUCGGCUUUUCCAAUCUCAAACCCUUGUUUGAGUAGGAAAUCCUUGAGACAAUCAUACCAAGCUCUAGGGGCUUGCUUAAGCCCAUAGAGUGCCUUGUCCAGCUUGUAGACAUAAUCGGGAUGAUGUGGAUCUUCAAAACCCGGCGGUUGCUCCACAUACAAGGUUUCAGAGAGGGGGCCAUUGAGGAAUGCACUUUUCACGUCCAUUUGAAACAACUUGAAAUCAUGGUGAGCAGCAAAGGAAAGUAAUAUGUGAAUAGAUUCAAGCCUAGCUACAGGUGCAUAAGUCUCCCCAAAAUCCAAACCUUCGAUUUGAGUGAAACAUUUGGCAACCAACCGAGCCUUGUUUCUAGUGACCACGCCAUACUCAUCUUCUUUGUUGCGGAAGACCCAUUUGGUUCCUAUCACAUUUUGCUUGGGUCUUUCCACUAAGGACCAGACUUCAUUCCUAGUGAAGUUGUUCAACUCCUCUUGCAUAGCCAUCACCCAAUCCGGAUCCUGUAAGGCAUCUUCCACCCUAUUUGGCAACAUAGAAGAGACAAAAGAGUAAUGUUCACAAAAACCAACUAAACGAGAGUGUGUUGUUACCCCUCGUUGUAUGUCUCCCAAAAUGCUAUCAACGAGACGAUCCCGUUGAAAAGAGUGAUGAACUCUGGGUGAGGCACUGUUGUUCUUGUUUGAAUGGGACCAUCAUCUUCAUCUUCAUGGUCUUGGUUGAUUGAAGAAUCGAGAUCUUGAACGUUUUGAUCUCCAUCUUGGUUUGGUUCUUGUGCUUGAGGUGGAUCUUGUCCAACUUGUUCUCUUGAGUCAUGACCUCUUCUUGAUGUGGAAGCAUCACCAUGGGCAUUGGUUGACCCAUGAUGCAAGUUUGGGUCACGAGAAAUUUGCAUGUGUGCAUCAUCUUCUUCUUCUUCAACGGGUUUCACUUCACCGGUAGCAAGCUUUUUGAUUACUUGGCGAGAUGGCUCUUCUUUACCUAGAAUUUCAGCAUUGACUUGCUCCUUUUGAGAGCCGUCACUUUCAUCAGAAGUCACAUCUACCGCUAUUUCAAUUUCACCGGUGGUCUCAUUGAAAACACGAUAGCCAUGUUGAUUAGUAGUAUAACCAAGUAAGAACCCUUCAUCAACCUUUGGUGCGAACUUAGAGCUUUUGGAUCUUUUAUUAAGUAUGGAACACUUGCAUCCAAAAACUCUAAAUUAAUCCACCUAAGGCUUUUUACCGGUUAGAAGCUCGUAGGCAGUUUUCUUCCUCAACUUGUGGAGGUAUAAGCAGUUGAUGGCGUGACAUACCGUGUUAACGGCUUCCGCCCAAUAAUCCUUUUCGGAGAUCUUGUAUUCAUCCAACAUUGCUCUUGCGGCUUCAAUGAGUGUUCGGUUCUUUCUUUCCACCACACCGUUUUGUUGUGGAGUAUAUGCAACCGAGAACUCAUGCUUGAUGCCUUCUUCAUCAAGGUAUGCUUCAAUGUUGGUGUUUCUAAAUUGGGUCCUGUUGUCGCUUCUCACUUUCUUCAUCUUCACUUCAAACUCAUUUUGAGCCCUUCUUGCAAACUUCUUGAAGAUCCCUUGAGUCUCACUCUUGUCCUUCAAAAAGAAUACCCAAGUGAAGCGAGAAAAGUCAUCAACAAUUACAAAACCAUAUUUGUUACCUCCAAUGCUUAUGUAAGCAUUGGGUCCGAACAAGUCCAUGAGAGGUAGCUCAAGUGGUCUUGAUGUAGUCACAAUGUUCUUUGUAGGAUGCUUAGCUCCAACUUGCUUUCCCUCUUGACAUGCACUGCAAAUUCUAUCUUUCUCAAAAGAAACAUUCGUUAGUCCAAGGAUGUGUUCACCUCUUUGAAGAUUGGCCAAGUUCCUCAUCCCAACAUGGGCUAGACGGCGAUGCCACAGCCAGCCCAUGCUAGAUUUUGCCACUAAACAAGUCUCGGACCCACUCUACUAGCUGAGAAAUCAACUAGAUAGAGCUUGCCCUUUAGUUGACCCGUAAAAGCAAUAGAGGAAUCCGACCUUCUAGAGACUUCCACACCCUUAUCCGUAAAGAGACAAUUGUAACCCUUCUCACAAAGUUGUGAGACGGAUAACAAAUUGUAUCCCAACGAAUCCACAAGUAAAACAUUUGAAAUAGAAUUAUCAUUUGAAAUUGCAAUUUUUCCUAAACCAAGGAUAUCUCCUUUACUAUUGUCACCAAAGACAAUCCUUUCAUUUGUGAUUUUACUUGGUUGAAAGGAGGUGAACAUGUUCUUCUCUCCGGUCAUGUGAUUGGUGCAUCCACUAUCAAGCACCCAACUUGGCCCAUCGGAGGAAUAAACCUACAAGACAAGAUUAAGCCUUUGUUUUAGGUCCCAAGUUGGAACCUAGGGGGUUAGACACAUAAGAUUUGGGCACCCAAACACUCCUCAAGAUUUGUCUCUUCUUGAGGGCACCCACAUACUUCACAACAAUCUUGCCAUCCUUAUCCCAACAACACAUGUAAUCACAAAUAUGAUUACGUGUGAUAGGCGCUUGUUGCUUGGGCACUUCCCCUUGCUUCUUCUUGAUGUUCUUGUUGUUUGCAAGUGGGAUUGUAGGAGUGGCAACAUUGUUCACCUUGUCAAUAAGGUCAACAAGAGGCAAACUCUUGUUGAACUUCACACAAGCCACCCCAUUUAUCAUGUUUCUCCCAUUGGCCUUACCAUUGUACCGAUUAUAUCCGAGGCCAUCCUUGAUUAUGGGGUGCCUUGAUGCCUUGAACACAUUUACCGGCUGCUUGUCCUUGCACUUGCAACCAAUUUUGACAAUAGUGUUCAGUCUUUGAAUUUCAUUGUCCUUCUUGGCUAACUCAUCAAGGUUAGUGACACAUGCAUUUAUGUCAACAUUUAUGCAUCUUUCACAGCUUUUACUUGUAGAAGCCUUUGAAUCCUUGGAAGCGGUAGAGGUGCUAGACCAAAGCUUUUCAUAGUUUAGUUCAAGCUCAUGAUAUUUUGUUGUCAAGCUUGUGAGGCUUUCUUGAGCCAAACUAUGAUCAUUCUUUAGGCUAGCCAAAGAGCCAUUGAGUGAGGAAUGUUCCUUAGUCAAUCGCUCAUUGGAGUCUUUGACUAGAGACAAUUCUACACCCAAUUUAUCAACCCUCUCCUUUUCCUUGGAGAGACAUACUUCGAGCCCAUGGUUCUUCUCCCUUUCCUCUAGAAGCAAUUCUCCUUGUGACUCGAUGCAUGACUCAAGCUUGUCAUUAGCGUAUAUUAGCUUUAGAAUUUUAGUUGCAGCAGUUUUACCAUAUUUCUUAAUGAGAUUAUUAGCAUAGUUUUCAUCAUCUUCAUUAUCACUAUCAUAAUCACUAGUGGUUUGAGGAGAGGAGUCAGUUUGUACCUUGUCUCCUUUUGCCAUAAGGCAUGUAGGAGAGUCAUCAUCGUCAUCGGAGAGAUUGGCGAAGAGCCUAGGCGAUGAGUGGGUGUCGGAGAUGAGUGUUGUGGAUGAGGCGAUGUUGCUGAAGAUCUUGGUUGGGGAGGAUCUUUCUUGUACGGCGAUGGCAGCUAUACUCUUCUUCUCAUUGUCAUCAUCAUCACUGUCACUGUCCGAUUGCCAUUCUUGCCCGAGGUGAGCUUCUCCUUUCUUCUUGUCCUUGUACUUCUUGUCAUUUUGCUUGUUGUACCUUGACUUCUUUCCUUUGUUGGGACAAUCAGCUACAAGAUGGCCGGUGUCACCACACUCAUAGCAAAACCUCUUUCUAUAUGGCUUGUUUCCUCCAUAUCUCCUUAUCUUAUCUUUCUUCAUUCUUAGAUAGUUCUUGUAGUCUCCCACUAGCAUAGCUUGUUCUUCAUCAAGAUGAUCAUCAUCUUUGUUCUUAUGCUCACAACAUCCUUUGUUGCAAUGACUUGACUCACUUCCAUGUGAAGCUGUGAGUGCUAUGUUCUUUCUUUGAUUUAGGGCUUCUUUGGCUUCAUUAUCCAAGACUUCAUGGUGCAUCAACUUUGCUAGCAUUUCUUCAGGAGUCAUAGUAUGAUAGUUGUCUUUCUCCAUGAUGAUGGAUGCAAGCAUAUUGUUCCUUUGUCUAUACACUCUACAAAUCUUUCUUGCUGCAGAGUUAUCAUCCCAUGUUUUUGCUCCAAGUGCUCUAAUUUGAUUGAUCAAUGACAUAAAUCUAUCAAACAUGGCUUUUGUUGUUUCUCCCUCAAGUAUGCAAAAGUUCUCAAUCUUGCUUUGUAAGAGCUCAAUGUUUCCUACUCUUACACUUUUGUCUCCCUCAAAUGACACUUUCAAGGUGUCCCAAAUCUGCUUAGCAUUCACCAUACCAUUUACUUUGUUGUUGUCCUCUGGAGUAAGACAUUGCAAGAUCAAGGUGGCAGCUGUUGCAUUAAGGUGAAAGUCUCUCUCAUCUUCGGGAGUCCACUCACUUGGAUCUUGCGGUGGAUUCACUCCAAUGUCCACUACUUCCCAGCAUCUUGCGGCAAUGAGAUGCAACUUCAUUCUAUGAGCCCAAUCGGUGUACCUUAUACCAUCAAAUGGAGGUGGCUUUCCAGGAUUGAUCAUCGGCAAUGUUGGAUUCUUGCUUGAACUGCUAUAAUCAAACCAAGUUUUGUUGUAGGUCUUUGACACCUUGCUAGCAUCUUCAUUUCCACCUUCGCUAUCCGACUCAUGAUUGCUUUUACCUAUGAGUUCUUUCAUCUUGUCUAGUGUUGAUAUUUGGUAACGCAAUUAGAAAAUGAUCCGCAAGCGCACGGAUAUCGGUGAGCAUUUCACCCGGGAGGUUAUCCAGAGUUAUCGUAUUUAUAUUUUUACCACUGGGAGAAAGGGUGCAUCUGACUAAGCAAAUCUAUUGCUACUAUCCCUUUAGGCUACAAAGAAUGUCUCUCGAUGUGAGUGAUGUAUAGAGAAGACUGCAACCGUAGUCUCGUUCUAACCUUGGUAAGGAUGAUCUACUGUUCUAUUGGGGAGGCUCACGGAAUCUAGACAACACAAAGGAUGUUCGACCCGCACCUAUAAACCUACCCGUCCUGCUAACGAGAUGUGAUCUGCAAAGGUAACUCGGAAAUGUCACGUUCCUCGCUACUACCACGGUCCAGCUAGUCAGGGGAUAUCUACGAGUACCCUAGCCUAAACACCACGUUUACGCUAGCAAGUGAUUACUCUAAUACUCAACCGGAAGAGGAUUAAAGUAAACUCAUAAACCAAAGAAAAAUAAAACAAGAACUUACUAGUAUUAGAAGUCGAAUUACUGAAAAAUCUUAGAAGCAAGCCUCGGGUUAGGAGACUUGAUCCCGUAGGUACAACUCGGAGUAGACACCGACAGGCCGGCCUUCCUCCGAACCACACCUCCACUCUAUCUCUCUCAAUCUAGUAGAAACUAGAAGAUCUAUUUCUACCUUACAUUGGUUGCUAAGCCUAAAAAGAAAUAUUAUUUAGAGAAGAGGUUUUCCUUCGAGGGCACCCCUCAAUCUCUAUGAUAAUUUCUUGUCUCCUCCAGGGCCAGAGGGGGUCUCCUUAUAUAGUCCUCCCCUUCUAUGCGUUUUUGGGUCGAUAGGCGAGGUGGUACUAUGUUAUUCUGGAUCCAAUAGGUCGGUGGAACGUCGUGUGCAAAGAGAGUCCGGAACGGAGUCCAGAGGGGGGCGGGCGCCUAGGUCCUCAGGGCGCGCGCCCUGGGCCUGGCCCCUUUCGGGCUCCGCUUCCUUCCCGUGGCUUCUGGAGUCUUCUAGAUGGUAGAAAAUUGCGCGGUGGAUUGAUAUCUCUAUGUAAUCCCGACAUGUGGGCCUUUCUUCCUUAUUUCCUGAUAACCCCCUGCAGAAAUAGACAAACAUCAAAACUCGUGGAAUUCUGUCAGAUAAAACCCUAAGUCUAGAUGUUGAUUUCAUUUGGAUCCUUUUCUUUGUUUAUUUGAUAAUUAAAUUUGAUACUUAAGGACCGUCAACAAACUCCCCCAAGCUUACCUCUUGCUCGUCCCUGAGCAAGGAUGAACUCAAGAGUUUCUGCAGUGGUUUCAUUUCUUAGAAGUACACACGCAUUUAAGCAAGAUCUCAUCUCUGAGUUAGAAUAAACUGUUAAGACUUAAAACUUACUUACUUUACCUACACCAUAGGACUUGUAACCGUCACUUCUGUCUUGAGUGGUUAAAAGAUAGAACAGUCUAGCCAAGUGCCAUGUCUCUUAUUCUUGAUCAGCUAUAGCUCUGGGGUUUUUGUAGAUUUUCAAAUAAAACUCAGAAAUUCCUUGUAUGAUUCUCUCAGGUCUCUCUUUUGUGGUAUUUUUGGAUCCUUACCAAGGCAGUGAUGGUAUAUGCCUUCUCUCAAGAUAUGUAGUAUUCGUGGUAUGAAGCAUAGUGUCAUUAUCUUCUCUCUCACCCUACUCUAAUAAGGCUUUAAUAUCUGGAGCUCAUAGGUGGGAGAUAAAGUAUACAUACUUACAAGACAUUUAUUGCAUAGUCAAACCAUGGAUCCAAAGAAACAAAUCAAUAAGCCAAAUCAAGAUGUGCAUGUGUGGCGAAUGAAUGGUGUAUAGUGAUGAUGGUGAUAACGAUGGUGGUGGAAGUCUAAUUCUACUUUGCUCUUUGAGGGGAUACAUACCUUCCUUGCUUUUGAAACUUUAUGAGGAGAAUGAGAUGCUCUUAUUUUUCUUUUCUUUCGAGGUUCCGAGCACUUGCUCCUUUUUAUUUCUUCGUAUCUUUUAUUUUCUUUUUCUCUUUUUUUUAGAGCAUUCAUCUCUUGAGAUAAUAUAGCAAGUGGUAGUAACAAGAUAACUUGAGCAUUUAUUUCACAAGGGGAAACAGAAAUAUUUUUGGUUAUUCUCUCCCGGAUUAGGAGUAGAAUACUUUUGGGUGGUUUUGGAGAUGGAAAUGAGUGGAUAUAUGUGGAUGGUACUUCCGGAGUAGAAGUAGCAUGUAUGAGUGAACGUGCAAGCGAAUCUUGAUUUAACCACAUGACAAGCUCCUAAGGGUCUACACAGCUUGACCACACUCAAUGCUCAUAAGCAGUAAAUAGUAAAUGUGUGGCUCAAGGUCUAGCAAGCAUGUAUAUAUAUGGCUGUGGUAGGAAUUUAAACUCUCAUCAUACAGGAACUCAUCAUGUGUUAUUUUAAAGAUUUUUCAAAGAUAAAAUUCUCCAGAAUUCUAGCAUCUCUUGGAACAGAUGAACAGCAGCUCAACCUUCCCAUAUCGUAUCCGUUAACAACUUAGACUUCAGAUCAAGUUUUCAUCCCACAAGUUUAGGUCUAGAGCAAGCCUUAAAUUAUAACAGUUAUAUCUAAACUUGAGAGAGAACUUCAAAUUUGCAAAUUAGGCAGAGAAACUAUUCAUCAUAUCCAUGCUUAAGUUUUAUUAGAUACCGAUUAGCAUAACCACUUUAUUUAUUUAUUAAAGACACUAAGCAAAAUAUAUAUAAGCAUAAAAUCUUUAUUUGGUUUUUCAUAGUUAUGUGUAUUUAUAUUCUAAUAUAGUAUAAGUAUAAAGAUAGAUAGAAAUACUUAUCGAGAUAAAUGGGGGUGCUCUCCCCCAAGCUGAAUUUUGACGUAAUUUCUCUUGAUGUAGCUAGCAGGUGGCAGAGGUGUGUUUGAAAGUCAGCAGUAUUUUGACAGCGAUUAGAAUGUCCUCCGUCUGCUAGUCUUCUUGAUUCUUAAAUUCUGUGGAGCUCAAAUAGACAACAAAGCUUUGUGGAACUGGUUAAGUGUUAGCAUAAAUAUCUAGCCUUUAUCAUGUUGAGACUCCUUAAUAAAUAUUACUCCCUGUUUUUAUAUUUUUGUUUUUAUAAAGCAGAAAAAUAUUUAUUUUAUUUUUAUGCCACCACAGUGAAUGUACUUAUGGGUUUUAUGCCACUUGUCUACUCACAUGGGGCUUACAGUUUUUUUCACAUUUUUAUUUUCUUUUUAGGAUAAUACGAACAUGAUUAACUAAGUAAACUAUUUGAAAUAAUUAAAAGGGAAAGGAUAACUACCAAGUUUACCUCUUGGCAAGGCGUUCGGUGUUUUUAAGUCCUCCGAGCGGGACUCUCCAUUUUCUUAAUCGUCCUGGGAUUCGCUGGAUGACGUAGUCGGUGAUUCCGGUGGCGCCUCCUCUUCGUGUGUAACUAUAUUCUCUCUCCACACCUGACUCGGUGCUAUGGUCUCCUCAGGACAGUUAUGUUCAAGUGGUAUGUCUUCAGUCCUUAUCACUUCUCCUUCGUAGUCUACCCAUCCGUCCUUGAUGAUUUGCCUCCUCUGGUUGCGGUUGCGAUGUCUUCUUCUUGUCCUGACCUACUUAGAGUCUUCAACUAUAUAGUUAGGGUCAGUAAAACAGCGGCAUACCUUCUCAGAGGAGAAGUGUAUGUGGACUUCUCCAGUUCCAAUAUAGAUGAUAGCUUUGAUAGUGCUGAGGAACUGUCUUCCAAGGAUGGUGGGUGGAUCAUACUCGUCUUCUCCCAUGUCAAUGACCUGAAAAUCAUCUAUAGCUGAAUGUAUAUUGGUUGUAGGGGCAUGGUUUCAUGCAGGAGCUGAUAAGUGACUACGGCCAUUAUAUUGACGUUAGAUCCGGUGUCAUAGAGUGUCUUCUGAAAAGAGUAUCUGUUGAUUGUGCACUCAAUGCUUAGAACACCAGGGUCGUCCUUCUUGAUCAAGAAAGGUGACUUGAGUCGACGAUCUUGACCUCCUUGAACUGCAGUGACCAUCUUAGCUGACUCUGUCCACAUUUGCUUGUUCCUAUUCCUCCUGUUGGUCCUCUUCCUUGGUUGAUGUCGGGGUUGCUCUGAAGUUUGUGUAGUCUUGUUCUUGAAGGAAAGUCUCCUUCUUCCCCUUGAUGUAGAGACUGAUCUUGGCAGCAUUAGCGUAGAUGACAGCUCUAGUGUUUAGGAAUGGCCUCCCUAAGAUGAUGGGUGCCCUCUCCUCAGUACCAGUCUCUAUCACCAUGAAGUCUGCUAGAGCAUACAAGGUACCAACUCGGACGCAGAGGUUCUUCAAUAUUUCCUUUGGGGAACUGAGUGUCCGAUCUGCAACCCUGGGCAUAAUGUUGACGCUGGAGCCAAAGUCGCAGAGUGCUUCUGGGAAGUCCACCAUGCCGAUGGAGAUCGGGAUGACGGGACGUCCUAGAUCACCUCUCUGAGUAAUUAGGCCUCUGUUGAUUCCAACCUUGAUGUUGUUGAGGACGGUUCUAGUAAUAGUUGUUAUUGUUGUUGAUGUAGUUCACGUCCUCAAGCAUCUUAGGGCAGUGAUUGCCUGAGCGUCCAGUAUCUCCAGUGUGUUUGUGCUCGUAGAUCCUAGUUCUUCACUUGGUGGAAUCUGGGAGUUGUAAAACUCCUUCAUAUUAUGCUCGAAGUGUUCCUGCUCAUAGAGACAAGGUAGAGAUCAAGUGCAUGGGCCCUGUUGGUGGAAAACACCAAUAGAACCAAAAGUGUAUUUGUUCUUCUCUAACCUUAAGCAUAGUGAGCAAGACAAAGUUGAUGGAUCAUGAGUGUAGCAUUUGUCAGAUCAGAUGGCUCAACCUAAUGGAAAGAUAAUCUAUCUAUAUUUAUGUUUUGUUUAUAUCUUCCAAAGAUUGAAUGUGCAAUACUUUAGCUUAUAUGAUUAGGAGUGUGGGGUCACGAAGGUAGUACUAAGAACAAAGAUUAAAGGACUAAACAUGUUGAAUUAAUUGAGUUGGUUAAUUUGGAGUUAUAAAUCAUACAUGUUUGUCUCUUUAUUUAUGUGAAUGCCAGAACCAAGGAGGAGCUUAUAAAAGUGUUAGUCAAGUACCUUAAGAUGUUACCUUACUUGAAGAGUGAUGGUACAGUAUCACCUUGUGGAAGCUUUCCUUUCUUAGCGGUUGUGCAUCGUGUUUGUGGCACCCUCCAUGAAUCAUCUCUUAUGAGCUACGUCUUUCUUGUGCAAAUUGUUAAACUUCAUGUGUCACUUUCUUCAUCUCUAAUGAGUUUGCAUCUCAGGACUUCCCAGGUUGUUAUUGAAAGUUUUCCUACAGGGGUUAGUCCAACAAAAUAUACCAAUAUCUACUCAAGCAGUUUUUAGUUCAGUAACCAAACUAGACUCCAUGUCUAAUCAGAUUAAGGAAGGCUAUUUAACCUAAGCACCACGCUUAAUUUAAAUGCCAUUGGAAGUGUGACUAGUACUUCCAAACUAACACUUACUAGGAUAAACAAAGGUAGCAUGAUGGCUUUUAUAGAGAUCUACUCAAGUGGAGAUGAAGUAGUGUGAUUAGUAUUUAACAAAUUGAGCAUGUCUCAAAGGUAAGGACAACCAACAUAGCAACAUGGCAAAGGAUGUUUUAUGUAAAGUACUCCCCCAAGCUUGAAUUUUACAAAAUUCAAGAUUGAAUGAAUUUAAUUUAAUGUUGCAUGAUGAUUGGUUGGACAUACCUUGCGCUUAUCAUUCAUCCGAUCUUCUUGCUCCAAUCCUAGAAAGGUUAGUGGCAAGAAUACCCGAAGGAAUAUUUCUACAAUUAUCUUUAUAUGCUCAAUACACAAGGCAAUGUUGCAAAUAAUUAGAAGUGCUUGUUACGAUCUGAUCAGUGCGAAUUAAGCAAUGGUUUAGGACACUAAGCAAAUAAUUAGAAGUGCUAUUUUUAGGACACUAAGCUUGUCCUUGGGGAACCAUCAAUUAACUCAACGAGAUCUGCAAUAUUUAUUAUAGACAUAUGCAUCGACAACCGCCCUUUUAAAGUUUUUAUAAAUAGAAAAGAAGAGGGGGUUGGAGAUCUCAAAUGUGGUAAGGAUGGAGAGACAAAUUGAUUGGAGAGAUGUUUUAUAUGAGCAAGGACUGGGUGAGGUAUUUAUGAAAUAACUUCCAUGCUCACUGUUGUAUCUCUCAUUCUCAAACUCCAAGGUUGAUUCUUCAUGAAUGGUUAAAAUUCCCCUAGGAUUGUCUCUCAAGUUUGUUUUAUCUAUCCAUUCAAUGGUGAUAGCACAUGGAUUUUUAAUGCCCUCUAGCCAUUGAUGUUGCUCUUCUCGAUCCUCCUUCUUAUGCAUGGGAUGUCUAGAUAGAUUCAUAGGAUUAUCGGGAGGUUUAAGAGAGUAGAAAUUAUUAAGCUCAAGGAUGGGAUGGAUAGCCGAAUCAUGGGAUUGGAAUGUUUGGAAAUUGGCUAUGGAAACUUCCUUUCCUUGUUUGGGAGAUGAUUCCUUCUCUAUCUCUAAGAUUUUUCUAUGAAGAUUAGUGCAAGAAGGAUGUCCACAAAUGAAGACAUUCCUUCCUUUACUAAUAGAUAAAGAAAGAAAGACUCUACCAAAGGUUAUAUGAUUAAGACCAAUGUGAAAAUAUCUAGGAAAAACAUGGUCUUGUAGGGCUAGGUCUAAACCAGAAUUUAUAGAAAGAUUAACAGAUUCCCUAGGUGUAGCUAAAAGUGCAUUAUCUUCUUGAUUAAAAGAUAGGACCUCGGCUAUAGAAAAGGGUUGGUUUUGACCUAUUGCAAUCAACUCCGGACACAGAUCAUAAUUAGGGGCAGAACGUGUUGACUUCCAUGGUCUAUGGCUGGUCUCCGAAGGUGCAAAGAAUUCAAUAAUAGGUAUGGAAUUUAAGUUAUCCAUAAAGAUAAAAAUAAAAAGAUAAAAGAAUAAAAGUAUAAAAGUAUAAUACAAGAUAAUAGCAAGACUCAAAGUUAUCUGAGCAAACCGUCUUUCUCCCCGGCAACGGCGCCAGAAAUGCUUGUUGAUAUUUGGUAACGCAAUUAGAAAAUGGUCCGCAAGCGCACGGAUAUCGGUGAGCAUUUCACCCGGGAGGUUAUCCAGAGUUAUCGUAUUUAUAUUUUUACCACUGGGAGAAAGGGUGCAUCUGACUAACCAAAUCUAUUGCUACUAUCCCUUUAGGCUACAAAUAAUGUCUCUCGAUGUGAGUGAUGUAUAGAGAAGACUGCAACCGUAGUCUCGUUCUAACCUUGGUAAGGAUGAUCUACUGUUCUAUUAGGGAGGCUCACGGAAUCUAGACAACACAAAGGAUGUUCGACCCGCACCUAUAAACCUACCCGUCCUCCUAACGAGAUGUGAUCUGCAAAGGUAACUCGGAAAUGUCACGUUCCUCGCUACUACCACGGUCCAGCUAGUCAGGGGAUAUCUAUGAGUACCCUAGCCUAAACACCACGUUUACGCUAGCAAGUGAUUACUCUAAUACUCAACCAGAAGAGGAUUAAAGUAAACUCAUAAACCAAAGAACAAUAAAACAAGAACUUACUAGUAUUAGAAGUCGAAUUACUGAAGAAUCUUAGAAGCAAGCCUCGGGUUAGGAGACUUGAUCCCGUAGGUACAACUCGGAGUAGACACCGACAGGCCGGCCUUCCUCCGAACCACACCUCCACUAUAUCUCUCUCAAUCUAGUAGAAACUAGAAGAUCUAUUUCUACCUUACAUUGGUUGCUAAGCCUAAAAAGAAAUAUUAUUUAGAGAAGAGGUUUUCCUUCGAGGGCACCCCUCAAUCUCUAUGAUAAUUUCUUGUCUCCUCCAGGGCCAGAGGGGGUCUCCUUAUAUAGUCCUCCCCUUCUAUGCGUUUUUGGGUCGAUAGGCGAGGUGGUACUAUGUUAUUCUGGAUCCAAUAGGUCGGUGGAACGUCGUGUGCGAAGAGAGUCCGGAACGGAGUCCAGAGGGGGGCGGGCGCCCAGGUCCUCAGGGCGGGCGCCCUGGGCCUGGCCCCUUUCGGGCUCCGCUUCCUUCCCGUGGCUUCUGGAGUCUUCUAGAUGGUAGAAAAUUGCGCGGUGGGUUGAUAUCUCUAUGUAAUCCCGACAUGUGGGCCUUUCUUCCUUAUUUCCUGAUAACCCCCUGCAGAAAUAGACAAACACCAAAACUCGUGGAAUUCUGUCAGAUAAAACCCUAAGUCUAGAUGUUGAUUUCAUUUGGAUCCUUUUCUUUGUUUAUUUGAUAAUUAAAUUUCAUACUUAAGGACCGUCAACAUCUAGCUCUUCUUGCAUCUUCUUCAUCUGCUCUUUCUGUUGCAACUGCAAGGAUGCUGUGAUCUGUGUUGUGAUUAGCUCAACAAUUUGUUGUUGAGUUGUUGGAUCCAUCUUGGCCAAUGUUGCUCCUCACGCGGUGAAGCGUUUGUACGAUGAACCUUGCUCCGAUACUAAUUGAAAGGAUCUAAUUGGCCUAGAGGGGGGUGAAUAGGCGUAUCUAAAAACCUGAAACUCAAAACUCAAGUUGCGGAAGUUAAGUGCUUGUCGGUACCACCGACAGUUUGGGCUGGUACUACUGGUGUAAGACAGCUAGUACUACCGACGCAAACUGUUAGUACUACCGACUCCCUAAGAUGGCUACGAAAUCAGGGUGUAAUGAGCUUAGAUUUCAGAUCUGAGUUUUAUCCCACUUUCCUAGAUGUAGGAGAGGAUGUUCUUGGAGUCUCCUUAGCUUGGUUCUUCUCCACAACGUAGAUCGACCCUUGUUUACCUAUUGAAGAGUGGGAAGAGAAAGAACACAAAGAACACAAAAACAAGGGUAGUCGAAGCUACCUCCACAGCAAGACAAGGUAUUUUUCCUGAGGUUUGGCAAUCUCCAUUUAGGAGUUCCUAUGUCCCCGUUGUUGAGGUGACCACGAAGGUCUGACCACUUAGGUCUCCUCCUCAAGCAACCGCAAAGGUUAGCUUGAUGUUUCCACUAAGAAUCAAGGGGUAAUACAAACACUUCGGGGUGCCCUCACAAAUGAAUCAACACGAGCAACUACGAAGAAUGCCUAGCUGGCUAGGGUUCUAAGAACCCAAGAGUAACAAAUACAAACCAAACCGGCAAGACAAGGAACCGAGUGCUCAAGUCACAGAUCGAAGCUCUCAACUCCCUAAUCUCACUUCUCUAGCUCGAAUCUCUCAAGAAGUGAAGUCUUGGAGCUAGAGGGAGAGAGAGUGGGUGAGACAAAGCUUGGAGACUGUUUUCUCAGAUGUGGAGUAGCUAGAAUGAGUAGGCCAACGGUUAGAAAAGAGGAGAGAGCUAUUUAUACUAGAGUACAGAACACCUGCCGGUACUACCGGUGCAACCACCGGUACCACCGGUGUCCUCAGAUCUAAACAAGAGAAGACUGUGGAAGAUGCGAGAAAAACGGCCUACCGGUACCACCGACAGUUCAAAUUCCUGCAUUUAGCAGUUCUGCGAGAAUUUGGCCUGCCAGUACUACCGGUGUUUCACCGGUACCACCGGCGGUAGCUGGUACCACCGGUCAAAGCCCGGUACUACCGGUAGUUCAUUUUCUCGCAAAACUUAGGAGAAGGACUGGAACUGCCGGUACCACCGGCCCUGAGGGCCGGUACUACCGGCUCACCCUGGCAGAGAAGAAACUUCCUAGUUGUUCGUGUGCGCAAGUGUGUCUCUCAAGCACAAUAGCUAAGUUGAUCUGAGCACCCUUAUCCUCAUCUUACCAACUCAAUUCGCAUCCCUCUUGAUAGUACGGCGUUUCCUAUAACUCAAACAAGAAAUAAAACUAGGUAGCUUCUUGAGUUGAAACGUCGCUCAAGUGAUGAAAUUUUGGGGGUGCUGUGAUUCACAAAAUGUGUUUCUUUGAUUCCAUCAAUGAACUAACACCUGUAGAUUACACUUGAUAGACAUGUUAGUUCCUAAUUUGAUUGGCAUUAAUUAUCAAAACCCACACCGGGGGCGAAUGCACUUACACCCAGCUUAGUAAUAAAUAGUGUCAUGCUUAGAACGUUAGCACGAUCUUAGUUAUGUGAGUCUAGUGUUUAGUUGUUUGCUUAGAGUGCUUUGCUUGGUCUGUGUGAGAACUUGAUUUAUUAUUGUGUUAAUGGUGUGAUUUGGUUCUUUGUAAUGAGUGCGAUGAGUUGUGGGUUAUGUCCACAACGCAUCAAGAACAAGAUUAAGUAUUAGGUUAAUAUGAGUUAGUUAGUUUGGGUUAUCUUCGGUCUCCUUUAUUUGUGCUUUAUAAUAUUUCAUAUCGCUCCAUCUUAUCAGUCUUACUUUAUCUAUAUAUUCCAUCUGUUAUGAGUACUGUGUAUAUCGACUGAAAAAGGGAAGUUACUAUCAGCUGGUUCACACUCUAAGGAAAUGAGUAUAAAUUUGCAGUUUACAUUACAGAUCAGAUUUACACAUAUGAACUACAACUGAUUUUAUUAUAUUAUUUCUAUACAUCAGAUACCUGUCAACAAUAGGAGCAAUACCAAUGGAGGAAACAAUGGUCAAUCCAACAACAACAACAACAACAACAACAACAACAACAACAACAAGAACAACAACAAUGGUCACAGCGGGACUAAUGCCAACCCUCCCCCUAUGAAUCAGCCCAUGACCAUAGAGCAGUUGAUGACUAUGCAGACUCUACUGAUGCAAGGAAUGACCCAUAUCAUGAACAACAUGCAGAAGAACCAAAAUCAGCACCAGAAUCAGAACCAGCACCAAGGAGGUAACAACGCGUUUGCCCCACCUAGGGACAAGCGUGGAGAGUUCAUGAAGGGACACCCACCGUUCUUCUCUCACUUAGCUGACCCUAUGCAAGCUGAGGACUGGCUUAAAGCUGUGGAGAAACAGCUGGUCAUUGCUAAGUGCAAUGACAGGGAGAAGGUUCUGUAUGGCUCUAGACAGCUUCAAGGAGCCGCACAGGACUGGUGGGAUUCGUACUGCUUCGUGCAUCAGGACCCAGAUACUAUCACUUGGGAUGAGUUCAAGGUCACCUUCAAAAUGCAUCAUGUUCCUGCCGGAUUGGUGAAGCAAAAGAAGACGGAGUUUCUGUCUCUGAAACAGGGCUCCAUGACUGUUUGUGAGUAUCGCGACAAGUUCACUCAGUUGUCGCGGUAUUGCCCGAAUGAGGUGGAGAACGAUGAAGACAAGCAAGAUCACUUCCUGGAAGGUCUGAAUGAUGACCUGUCCUACAUGAUGUCAAAUGUCAAGUAUGCUAGCUUCAAAGAGAUGGUGGACAGGGCAUUGGUGCUUGAGAGCAAGCGCCGCAAGAUGGAAGACAAGAAGAGGAAGUAUAACUCCUCUCAGCAGCAGGCUGGCCGUCCCUGCUACAACAAUCAGCAGGGCCCUCAGUCUCGCCCUACAUAUCAGUCUGGUAACCAAGGACAGUAGUGUUGACGGUCCUUAAGUAUCAAAUAUAAUUAACAAAUAAACAAAGAAAAGGAUCCAAAUGCAACUGACAUCCAGACUUAGGGUUUUAUCUGACAGAAUUCCACGAGUUUUGGUGUUUGUCUAUUUCUGCAGGGGGUUAUCAGGAAUUAUAGAAGAAAGGCCCACACGUCGGGUUUACAUAGAGAUAUUAACGUGCCGCACAAUUAUCUUACAUCUAGAAGAGUCCAGAAGCCAUGGGAACGAACAGGAGACCGGAAGGGCUCGAGGGCAGGGCGCCCGCCGUCCCCCCUAGGGCGCCUACCCUGGCCUUUCCUCCAAUCACGGCCAAUCUCACGGAUCAUGCUCCACCGACCUAAAGGAUCAAGGAUAAUCGUUCAAUCAAUGUCGGUUUGAUCCGACGGCCCACAUUCACUUGGAAGCACUAUAUAACCAGACCCCUUGGCCCCUGGAGGAGAGCACCUCUCAACCCUAAUUCAUUAUUCAUCAGGGAGAAGAAGCUUCUGAUCAAGCCCUAGAGCCACCACAUCAAUUAGAUCUCUAGAUUAGCAUAUCUACAUAGGAUUAGAACUAGAAGGAGUCAAUCUUCGAUUGGUUUUCGGAUCUGUCAAGAGGAUUAUUGGUAAUUCUCUAUUGUUCUUCAAUUGUUCAUCUUUGUUCUUUAAUAUUAUGAAUAUGACUUUGUUCUACUUCAACAUAUUGAUUAUGACUUUGCUCUACUUGUUUAUAUUCACAAUUAUAUUGUUCUUAGUUUAUCAUAGUUAUAUACUUCGCUUAGUUAGAUUGGAAUUAUAUACAUGUUUAGGAUCGUAUAGCGUUUAUCCAUCGGAUCCAUGGGUCAAUGAUAGAUAUUGUGUAGUCGUGGUGCUUAUACCGUAUUUAUCUGCGAUUGUACCCUAUAUGCCAGAUCGCGGGGUAGUUCGUGGUAGUGACAACUCCAUUGAUUCUUAUAUAGUCCCCCUCUCGUGUAUUGGGCUGGCAGAGCAACAUUAUUACAGGGGAGUGAUUGCGAUGUUUCUCAUAUUCCUUGAUAAUAUCACUAUGCAUGGGCGUAGUCCUGUCUCACAAUGAUUGUUAUGUAUAAUUGCACUAACUAUGAUAUGCUAGAUUGUAUAGUUGAGAAUAACUUAGGAAAUAUUCUUGUAGUUCGUCCUAAUACCAUGCUAAUGACUUCCUAGAAUAUCUAAUUGAGGUGCUUAUCAUAUUUAUAUGUGGCUAAGUUAUGCUGAUCAGAUUAAUUAUCUUUGUCACUAUUCAUUACUUUAUAUAUCCUUUAUGUGACACUUAUCCCUGUAUGAAAGAGAUAGAUAAAUGUUCUCAAUUAUACAUGCAAUGAUAGAUAUUCAAUCUUAUAUUCCAUUCUAUAAUCAACAUUGAUGAUUACUAAUCCCUUCCUAGUGGUAAAAAUAUAAAUAACGACACCAGGAAUGAAUAUAGAAUUUUGAGUCAUCAUUCGCAUCACUAAUAUGAUUGAGCUUAUCAAUUCUCUCAUACAGUUUUACCUCGAUAUUUUUCUAUUGUAUCUUAUGCAGGGUAAUGUAUGAUUAGAAGACAUCUUCCAGGAAAUUUUGUUGACAAUCCCAAAGCGUUAUUCAGAAAAACAAGAGCCAAGCUCAAGAAGAGAUCAUCAACACUUCAGCAAGAAGCUUCAUCCAAUCAAGAAGAUCACCAAAGUUUCACCCAGAACUUGUCUUUAGAGUUCGAAGUCAGGGCGAACAAAUCAAUCCGUGAUUUCUCAGCUCCCACUACAGACAACAUCCGUACUGGACCUGCUGCAGAGAUCGAUGGCAACUUUGAGCUCAAGCCUGGACUUAUCAACAUGGUGCAAUUCAAACAGUUCUAUGGGAAGGCACACGAAGAUGCUAGUGCUCAUCUCCAACACUUCCUAGAGAUUUGCAACACAUUCACUAUAUUAGGAGUCCCCAGAGAUGCUAUACUACUUCACCUCUUCCCGUUCUCACUGUUUGGGAGAGCGAAGUAGUGGUUCUAUGCUACAAAGGAGAAGAAUACUAUGUGGGCACUCUGCUCCAUGAACUUUCUGGCUAAGUUCUUUCCCAUGGGCAAGACCAAUGCUCUCCGUGGGAAAAUUACAAGUUUUCAGCAACAACAUGAUGAAUCUGUUCCAGAAGCAUGGGAGCGCUUCCAAGACUACAUCCUAGAAUGUCCCCAUCAUGGAAUGGAGAGCUGACUACUAAUGCAGACCUUUUAUCAUGGGCUCGGCAACAGUGCCUGAGAAACCAUGGAUGCUGUAGCUGCAGGAGCAUUCCUAUCACUUACUAUAUCACAAGCCACAGCUCUUGUGGAGAAGAUGGCGUCCAACCAAAGCUGGAAUGAAGAGAGGACCUAGACACGCAAGAGAGGUGGAGGUAUGCAUCAACUCAAGGAGGUAGACAUGCUAUCUGCAAAAGCUAGACCUGCUCAUGAAGAAGCUCGAUGAUAGAGUUGGAGAUAAGAAAGAAGUUAUGCACAUCUACGACUCUCACAUGACUUGUGAGGAGUGUGGAGAUACUGGACACUCAGGCAAUCACUGCCCUGAGAUACUUGAGGAUGUGAACUACAUCAACAACAACAACAACAACUAUUACAACCGUCCUCAACAAAAUGAAGGUUGGAAUCAAUAGAGGCCUAACUACUCAGGUAAUUAUCAAGGUAACAAUUCUUACAACAAUAAUAAUAAUUUUCCACCUCUGAGAGAGUUAGUGUCUAAUCAAGGAAAGCUAAUGGAUAACCUAUCUAAGAAAUUGGCAUCUAAUGAUAAAAUGCUAGAAAAUAUAAAUAAUAGAAUGGAUAAUUUCUGUACUGCCAUCAAGAAUCAAAUUAGCUUUAAUAAAAUGAUUGAACCUCAGUUAAAUCAAAUAGCUACUGAUGUUCCUGCUACUAACCCUGUUAUACCAUCACAACCGGAAGGAUUAGUGUUGGGUACAAUAAAAAGGGAUACCCAGAUCAGAGCAAUAAAAAAUUGCAAAAGGCUAAGCAAGUCCCAAAAGAUCACCAGGACGCGGGCCCCAGCCAUCUACUCCCUCGUUCUCAAGCCCAAAACACGCCUCGCCCGACCCCCUGGGCCUCGGGCGCAAGUUCCGUCUCGCCCGACCCCCCAGGGCUCGGACGCAGACACCGCCUCGCCCGACCCCUAGGGCCUCGGGCGUAAGUUCCGUCUCGACCGACCCGACCGAGGCUCGGGCACCAAACGUCGCUCCACCGGAUCAGGACAAGGCUUCCGACGCACGACGCCCGUACCCUCGACGUGACAGGCGCAGUGACUCCCAUAUCGCAGCAGGGCAUGGUGGCGACUAUUCCAACCACCCUGGUCACUGUUGCCUUAUCCCUUUCACUAUGCAACCUUACCUCUUUUACUGUGGUGUACUGCCUCAUAGUAAAAGAGGAAUGGAGGAGAUUAAUCAAUGUCACUAUCUGCUGUCUUCUCCCACUGUUAACAGGACAGGCAGCAGUGUCACCGACCCGACCCCCACGACUCCAACAGGGCUCGGCAACCCCCCACAGGAACAACCAUACUAUCAACCAUGCUUCAAGGACGGCAUGGGCAAGCUCCUAGAGGGUCGGGACUGUCGCUCCUCCACUCGGUAGGGAAAAUCUCCAAACCCCCAUGUAAAUACCUGCCUCCCCUUGAGGCUAUAAAAGGGGAGCCAAGGUUCACAAGGUUGAGACAUACACACACAACCACCACGCUCGUUCACUAAGUAGAAACCAACACUCUGUCCACCACAGAGCCGAGACUUGGGACUUAGCCCUCUCUCACAACCUACUUGUACCCCACUACUACAAGCACCUUUGGGUGCAAGGCAAUACAGACCCCCGAUCUCACUGGACGUAGGGCAUUCUUGGCCCGAACCAGUAUAAAUUCUCUGUGUUCCACUUGCAUCACCAUCCAGGUUUAGGUAGUCAUGCAUAUUUAUACUCGUUUGUGCCUAGACCACGAGUCUAGACGCCGACAGUUGGCGCGCCAGGUAGGGGCCUUUUGCGCGACAUUCACCCGUCCCUACAGGGAAGGCUUGGAUGGCAGACGGAUUUUACCCACUUCGCCGUGGCACCAUCAUGAUGUUCGGGAGUUUGGAGUUCAUGUCUCUCGGCUUUGGCUGUGACAUGGUCCUCCUCCCGCCACGUGAUGAUGUCGAGCCUUGCCCCGAGCCGAUCCCACCACAGCCAGUGCGUGGGAGGCGCUCGGGACAUCAUGCUGGGGCUGCCCGGUGGGGGCGUCAGAGAUCCAGGAUCUCUGAUCCUACCACUAAGGCGAGGGCCCGUCCGGCCCUCCCCCCGCAUAUUCCUCACCAGAUCGCCCAUUCCUCUGGCUCGACACGCGCUAGAGGAAGGCCUCGCGGAGCGUCACGCUCUGCUUCACGGACCAACAGGGGAUCAUCGCGACCUCCUGUUCCACCCCGAUCAAAGUGGAAGGCAUGGCUCCCGCCUGUUCCCUAGAAAGGGGACAAAGGGGCCUCAAUAUCUCGUCCCCCUCCACCUAUGGAUGGAGGAGAAACAGCGGCGUCUCCAGAGCUCCCUUUUGGACUCAGGAAUGCAGCCGCCACGUACGCCUCUUCCGUGAGCACUUCGUUAAGUGCGUAUGCGGACCUUCCAGGGCACCACCUCAGGUCUGCCCUGGACCUUAUCGCUUCACCGCCCGUUUCGUCAUACCCAGAGGAUCUCACCUCACGCGAUGAUGAGUGGGCUGGCGCUGACUUUUCUGGGUGUGGCGACCCAGAGACCUUCAUGUGCUUCUUGGAGGCCAGCAACUACUGUCUCGGCUACUCCGACUCCGACGACGGGAGCUCUGACUCGUCACGAGAGUGCUUCAACCUGGAGGUCGGAGGGAUGCCGCAUAACGCUCAGGGGGGUGCAGGACACUCUAGGCAGGAGAAUGCAACCCCACCUCCCAACCCUACUCCCGGGACCGAUCCUGGAGCCCGUGGGGUAGCAUCAGCCCCCAUAGGAGGACACCGCCCUGACCUCGAGUAGCUCAAUGAGCUGGAGGCCAGGCUCGAAGAAGAACGCGCACGCCUCCACCAACUCCGCGAAACCAUGGUCCGAGACACAUCCGGCCGCGGGGACGGGGGUGAAGCUAGACGCCGAGCCCGAGACGUCAACCUUCGUAUCGUCGAGGACGUAGGGGGUGACGCCCCGGUCUUCAGCACGGCCAGCCAGAAUGUGAUGGCCGCCGCACUCCUCCUCAGGGCGAUGCCCUUGCCAUCGACCCCUAAGGGAAGGAGAGUGCGCCAGGGGCUACGUGGCCUCCUGGAGCAAGCUGUGGUGCAGAACGCGGAAAGUUCUGCAUCACAAUCCCACGGCACGAGACGUCAAGAGGACAGACCCCCUCCUAACAAGGCACCAACGGUGCAGGGUCCGUCGCCCCCUAAUCCGCAAGGGGGCAACAGGGCCCCAUCUGUGCACGAACGCGUCGGGGCUGACGCGGACGUUCGGGCAACCCUUGAGGCAAGGGGGCGCGAUAGGGACGAGGCCGAGUCUCGACGCUAUCGACCACGUCGAGGCGGAAGAUACGACCCCGACCACGACUGCAGCACGUCGCCAGAACCCCCGGGUCCCCGUGUCUUCAGCGAGGCCAUACGCAGGGCCAUGUUCCCGGCGAGAUUUCGACAGCCCGCCAACCUGACCAAAUACUCAGGGGAAACCAACCCUGAGCUAUGGCUGGCGGAGCAGAUGAUGACCUGCUCAUCAUCCGCAACCUUCCACUGCAUCUGGCCGAUACGGCCAGAGCAUGGCUCGAGCAUCUUCCCGACCGCAUGAUCCACGACUCGGCCGACCUGGUCAAGAUCUUCGUCGCGAACUUCCAGGGCACAUAUGUGCGCCCUGGGAACUCCUGGGACCUCAAGAGCUGCUGAUAGAAGCCCGAUGAAUCCCUCUGAGACAUCAUCAGGUGAUUCUCCAAGCAGUGCACCGAGCUCCCCAACAUUACGGACUCCGACGUCAUCGGAGCCUUCAUCUCCGGCACCACCUGCAAGGAGCUGGUACACGAGCUCGGUCGCAAGACCCCCACGAGCACUAGCCAGCUGCUCGACAUGGCCACCAACUUUGCCUCAGGCGAGGAGGCAGUUGGUGCCAUAUUCUCCGACGGCGCUGCCAAGGGGAAACAAAAGGCCGAGGCCGCCGAGGCCUCAGGCUCACGCGACCCCAAGAAGAAGAAGAAGGGUCGCAAGGGGAAGCAGGGUCAGUCGGGCGACAACCUAGUCGCCGCGGCAGAUCGCAAGAACCCCAAGCGAGCUCCUGCUGGCCCCGGUCUCUUCGAUGAGAUGUUGAAGAAGCUGUGCCCCUAUCACAGGGGACCAACCAAACACACCCUUGAGGAGUGCACUGUCCUGCGUCGGUACUACACCAACAUCAUAGCCAAGGAGGGCGCUAAGGAGGCCCCCAAGGAUGACGACUCUCAGGGGGAAGGCUUCCCCAAGAUCAAGAAUUGCCUCUUGAUCUUCGGGGGCCGUGCGGCUCGCCUCACAGCGAGUCAAAGGAAGCGUGAACUCCGAGAAGUUUGCACAGUUAACACAGCCGUGCCGUCGUACCUCAAGUGGUCCGAGAGCGCGAUCACUUUCGAUCGACAGGAUCACCUGGAUCGGAUCCCCAAUCCCGGGAGCUAUCCUCUGAUAGUCGACCCCAUCAUCACCGAGACUCGUCUCACCAAGGUGCUGAUGGACGGAGGCAGCGGCCUCAACAUCCUAUAUGCCGAGACUCUGGCCCUUAUGGGGAUCAGCAAGUCCCGGCUAAGGAAUGACACUUCGCCAUUCCACGGAGUGGUACCGGGACAUCGUGCUCACCCCCUCGGGCAGAUCGAUCUGCCCAUCUGCUUUGGGACCCCCGAUAAUUUCAGACGGGAGGUCCUCACUUUUGAUGUGGUCGGGUUCCCAGGAACCUACCACGAAAUCCUGGGACGACCUUGCUACGCCAAGUUCAUAGCCGUCCCCAACUACACCUACCUCAAGCUCAAGAUGCCAGGGCCAAAAGGCGUCAUCACCGUCAGCACGACCAGUCAGCACGCCUACCAGUGCGACAUUGAGUGCAUUGAGCAGGCCAAGGCUAUGGCUGAGUCUCUCGCCAUCCUCACCGGCCUCGGCGACUGCGACCAGGACAUCCCCGACCCCAAGCGUCAUGCCGGGAGCUUCGAGUCGGUGGAGGAGACCAAGCUAGUCUUCCUCAACCCCCAGAGCUCUGAAGGCAGGGCGUUGAGGAUCAGCUCCAGCCUCAACCCCAAAUAGGAAGUGGUGCUCAUCGACUUUCUCCGUGCAAAUGCCGACAUAUUUGCAUGGAGUCACUCGGACAUGCCUGGCAUACCGAGAGAAGUCGCCGAGCACUCCUUGGACAUCCGAGCCGGCUCCAAGCCCGUAAAGCAACGCCUGCGCCGAUUCGACGAGGAGAAGUGCCGGGCCAUCGGGGAGGAGAUCCACAAACUGCUGGCGGCCGGAUUCAUCAAGGAGGUAUUCCAUCCCGAGUGGUUAGCUAACCCUGUACUAGUCAAAAAGAAAAAUGGGAAGUGGAGGAUGUGUGUAGACUAUACUAGUUCAAAUAAAGCAUGUACUAAGAACCCCUUUUCGUUACCUCGUAUCGAUCAAAUAGUUGACUCCACCGCGGGAUGCGAAAUUUUAUCUUUUCUUGAUGCUUAUUCCGGUUACCACCAAAUCAAGAUGAAAGAGUCCGACCAGCUCGCGACUUCUUUCAUCACCCCUUUCGGAAUGUAUUGCUACGUAAUCAUGCCUUUUGGCCUGAAGAACGCGGGGGCCACAUACCAAAGAUGUAUGCUCCAGGUCUUUGGGGACCUCAUAGGCAAGACGGUAGAGGCUUACUUAGAUGACAUUGUUGUCAAAUCUAGGAAAGCAAGCGGCCUAGUUGCUGACCUGGAAGAAACGUUCCGAUGCCUCACGGCAAAGGGGAUCAGACUCAACCCUGAAAAAUGCGUUUUCGGUGUCCCCCGAGGCAUGCUCCUCGGGUUUAUUGUGUCUGAGCGAGGGAUCGAGGUGAACCCAGAAAAGGUCUCGGCCAUCGCAAGCAUGGGCCCGAUUCGUAACCUAAAGGGAGUACAGAGGGUCAUGGGAUGUCUAGCCUCUCUAAGCCGUUUCAUCUCUCAUCUCGGGGAAAAAGGGCUACCUCUGUAUAGGUUACUUCCGAGCAUUUUUCCUCGACCCCCGAGGCCCAAGACGCCCAUAACAAGCUCAAGGCUCUGCUCACCAACCCUCCCAUUCUGGUGCCCCCCGCCAAGGGGGAACCGCUUCUUCUCUAUGUCGCAGCCACUGAUCAAGUGGCCAGCGCAGCUAUCGUGGUCGAAAGGAAGGAAGAAGGGCAUGCCCUGCCGGUCCAAAGAUCGGUGUACUUCAUCAGUGAAGUACUAUCCGACACAAAGACCCGAUACCCCCAAAUCCAAAAAUUGCUUUACGCAGUAGUCUUGGCCCGACGCAAGCUCCGCCAUUAUUUUGAGUCUCAUCCGGUCUCGGUAGUGUCAUCUUUCCCUCUAGGGGAAGUGAUUCAGAACUGAGAAGCCAAUGGUAGAAUUGCUAAGUGGGCUAUAGAGCUUAUGGGUGAUGGGAUCACCUAUGAGCCUCGGAAAGCCAUAAAAUUCCAAGUCCUAGCGGAUUUUGUGGCAGAAUGGACUGGGACUUAGCUCCCCCCACCACAGAUCCAACACGAGUGCUGGACCUUGUACUUCGACGGGUCUUUGAUGAAAACCUGGGCCGGUGCAGGCCUCGUCUUCAUCUCACCCUUCAGGGUAAAGAUGCGAUAUGCAAUCCGACUCCACUUCCCCGCCUCAAACAAUGCAACAGAGUACGAGGCCCUUCUCAAUGGUCUCCACAUCGCGAUCAAGCUUGGGAUCAAACGGCUCGAGGUCCGAGGCGAUUCUAGACUCAACAUCGACCAGGUCAUGAAAGAGUCUAGCUGCCACGAUCCUAAGAUGGACGCGUACUGCAAAACGGUCCGACGCCUGGAGGAAAAGUUCGACGGCCUCGAGCUUAACCACGUGUUAAGAAAAUACAAUGAGGCCGCCGACGCGCUCGCCAAGAUAGCGUCCGAGCGGGCCACGGUCCCCCCAGAUGUUUUUGUCAGCGACCUCUACAAGCCUUCAGUCGACUACAAGGACGACGGGGGGUCGGGCGAACCCCCAAGCGAACCGGGCCCCGACCCCAAGGACUCCGCCGCUCAGGAACAGGAGGCCAUGGACAUCGAGUCCGAGCCCCCUGCGCCUGACGACUCACCAGAUUGGCGCUACCCUUUGCUGCAACGCCUCGUCGAUGGCACUUUGCCCCCAGACCAGGCUUAGGCAAGGCACAUGGCUCGUCGCGCCAAGACCUUUGUCCUCCUUGACGGAGAGAUGUACAAGCGCAGCCCCUCGGGCAUCCUUAUGCGUUGCAUCCCACGACAGGAGGGAAUCAAGCUCCUGCAGGACAUACACUCGGGGGCUUGCGGCCACCACGCCGCGCCUCGGACGCUGGUAGGAAAUGCCUUCCGGCAAGACUUCUACUGGCCCACCGCCGUGGCUGAUGCCACGGAGAUCGUGCGGACCUGUGAGGGAUCCCAGUUUUAUGCUCGGCAGAUUCAUCUCCCCGCUCAGGCCCUACAGACGAUCCCCAUCACUUGGCCUUUUGCUGUCUGGGGCCUCGACCUGGUCGGGCUUCUGCAGAAAGCGCCCGGGGGCUUCACCCACUUACUUGUCGCGAUUGACAAGUUCUCCAAGUGGAUUGAGGUCCGACCCAUCACAAGGAUCAAGGCCGAACAAGUAGUGCUGUUCUUCACGGAUAUUAUCCACCGAUUUGGAGUGCCGAACUCCAUAAUCACCGAUAACGGCACACAGUUCACCGAGCGAAAGUUCCUGGAGUUCUGCGACAGGCACCACAUACGUGUGGACUGGGCAGCAGUGGCUCACCCCAAGACUAACGGUCAAGUGGAGCGUGCCAAUGGCAUGAUCCUCCAGGGUCUGAAACCCAAGAUUUUCAAACGGUUGAACAAGUUUGGAAAAAGAUGGCUCAAGCAGCUACCGGCCGUGGUCUGGAGUCUAAGGACUUCCCGAAGCCGAGCCACAGGCUUCACCCCAUUCUUCAUGGUCUAUGGGUCAAAAGUCGUCCUCCCCACGGAUCUGGAGUACGGGUCUCCAAGGGUACAAACCUACGACGAAAAUAGUUGCAAAACGUUCCAAGAAGACGCGCUGGAACAGCUGGAUGAGGCCAGAGACGUAGCCCUCCUACACUCCGCCAAGUACCUGCAGGCCCUCCGCCAAUACCAUGCGCGACGAAUCCGAGGCCGAGCCUUUCAAGUCGACGACUUGGUGCUGAGGCUCAGGCAGAGCAACAAGGGUCGUCACAAGUUCACACCCCCUGGGAAGGGCCCUUCGUCAUCGCCGAAGUCCUCCGACCCGGCACCUACAAGCUCGCCAAUCAAGCAGGGGAGGUCUUCAAAAACGCGUGGAACAUAGAACAGCUACGUCGCUUUUACCCUUAGAACUUUGUAAAAAUUUCCAUUUGUUCAUCACCUUGAAAGAAUAAAUGAAAGUUCAAACUAUAUGACCAUUUCUUUUUAAGUAAGCCUCGGACCUGCCUUACAGAGUCCGAGCCUUCCUCGGGGGCUACAUAGGGGGGAACCCCCUGUGGCAACUCCAAUUCUUUUUUCUUUUUUCGCACAAGUCAAGAGAACCCCGACCCAAGGUCUUUCCCCAUUUCCUAAAAAGAUUUAGGAAACCGAAAGAUCCAUCCCCUAAGUCUUAAGGUAUGAGCCCAUGGAAAGAUCCGCGCUCACGAGCAAAGACAACCUCUAAUCACCUUAGGGUCGGGGGGCGGAUCCGGACUUCCAAAAAUUACUAGGGAAAAAGGAAAAGGACUUAGGCUCGGGGACUCCGGCUAGCGCAGACUCUAAGUAGCUCACCCAACCUCGUGCUGCCGAGGUCGGGUCGGCAUAGGAAAAAGGAAAACAAGACACUUAAAGCUUAAAAGGAACAAUCACAUAAACAUUCAUACUUAGCAUUGACAUUGUAUAUACACAAUACAAGGCCCACUGGCCUUCGAUGUUUACAAAAAAGAAAAAGAAAUCUAACUUAAAGGGCCUUGCUGCCCUGCCUGCGCAGGCCCUUGCGCGCCGAGGGGGGGAAGCUCCACCUCGUCGUCGAAGAAGGCGGCCAAAGCACCUCCCGGGGCGGCUGCGGCAUCUUCAAGCCUCUACACCUCCUCCUGGGCCUCCGAUUCGUCAUCAGGGAGGACGUAGCCCUCACAGACUGCCGGCAAGUCAAUGCUGACGUAGUGAGAGCUCACCACCGCCACGGCUUUCCUUACCCCGACGUGGAGCGCCUCCCUCAUCUUCUCCCUAGCCCGGGAGUAAAGGGCUUCGACCCGACUCCGCAGCGACGACCCCGACGCCGCCACCCCGAGCCCCUCGCACGCCGAGGUAACCAUGGCUUCAAGAGUCGAGCGGUCUGAAACCUCGGCAUCAAGGGACCUCUGCAGGGCCUCGGCAGCAGAAGUCGCCUCGACCACCUUCCUCUCUGACUCUGUUAAAAAGCAGAACAAGAAAAAUGAGAAGUCAGGAAGACUAACCCAAAGCGCAAAGGGGGCCAAGGUAAAAAACACAGGUCUUACCCUCGGCUCGCUUCUCGUUCUCCGCCGAGCUCCGAUACCAGCGGGCCACCUGACUCUGAGCAGCAGCAAGGUCGGCCUGAGUCUGGUUCAGGGCAAGGUCUUUUUCGGCGAGCAAAGCCUCAAGCCGAGCAACCUUGCCCUUAUACCUCUCAGCCACCGCCUUCUGCACCUCGGAUUCCUGGGUAAGGAUCCCGACCCUCUCCUCCAGGGGGGCGAACUUGUCCCGGGCCUCCUGAGCCUCGGUUGCCAGUGCGGAGCACUUCUGCCGAAGCUCGGCAGAGAUCUCGCACUCCUUAGCGAGCUCCCCCUCAGCCGCCUCCCGAGUAGCCCUUUCAUUCUCACAGGUCGCCCAGGCAUCUCUUUCCCUGCGGAGAAAGACUGACUUCUCUAGGGAUGUAGCCUUGAGCGCCUACAAAACUGGAAGUCCCACAGGGAGUCAGAAUGGCAAAAUAAAGCAAAAAACACUUCACAACGUGGGAGGAAGCCUUACCUGGGCCAGGUUGUACAUGUUCCAGCUCACGAGCUCAGAAGCUCGAUUGAUCGCCUCGACGUUGGCACGCCCGCAUGCGUCCAGACCCUGCCAGAGGUAAGCCUCCGACGGGUCAUCCAGAACAAAUCUGGCCCCUCCCUCUAUGUCCUCGAGGUUGGGCCAGAAUACGGGGCUCUUGCCCCAUUGGGCGUCGCCUUCCCCUCCUGCCGUAGGGGCCUCAGGCGCCGUACUGGACGCCACGAUGGCUCGACCUUCCUCAACCUGCACAGGCCGGACCGCGCCGCCCGGACCCGCACCCGCAGAUGGAGUCAUAGCCGCGGGGGUACGAGCUGUCUCCCCUGGUCUUUGGGGUCUCGGCGCCCCCGUCUCCUGCCCCCGACGGUGCUCCUCCUCCUCGUAGCUCAGAGGGGGCGGUGACUUCGGCCUUGCCGACCCAGGGGUCGAUUGCACCCCCCUCUUUAUGGCCUUCAGGGGGCUAACAGCACUGGCAUCGCCUUGUACUUCUGGCUGAAAAGAUAACACGAGUCAGAAGAAAGAGAAAAACAAAAAAUCAACGAAAGGAUCAGAAAUCCUAUACGUACCUCGCUCGGGGGGCAGCCUUCUUCUGGGAGCUUGGAGCUCCUUGGGGGCCUCCCGAAGCACCAGGGGCCGUUGGCCGGACCCCCGUCUCACCAGCGGAUGGCGCGGGAACCUCAACGGCAGUCUCAGCCUGCGAUGCCUCCACCAAGCCGCCCGCUUCUGCCCCGGACACCGGGCGGGGCUCGACCGGGCUCUCUGGCGCUACCGGUUGUGGGGGCACCUCGAAUCCGCCCCCUGACGCCUUCUCCCCCUCCUGGGGACCCACGGGGACUGAACCCUCCCGAGGGGCGCUGUCCUCGUCAUCUACAAUAAUGUGGGGGACGGUCUGCCCGACCCCGGCGCCUGGGACCCCUCGAGGGCCUCAGACCCCCCUCGGGCCUUCGACCCCUCUAGGAUCUCGAUCCCCCCGCCGACAGGGGGGAUCACGUCAUCCUCCUCCGCCAGCUCAUCAAGCCAGUCGGCGUCAUCUCCCCCACCCUCUAUCUCCGAGACUGAAGUCUCGGGAGAGGGGGGCGGGGCGACCCCCGCCUUCUCGGCUUAACGGUGGUUCUUGGCGGAGAUCUCCCGUCGUUGCGCUUUCCACGCUGCCUUGGCCUUCUUGUCCUCCUUGGCCUUCUUCUGUUCCUCAUUCCGGGCCCGAUUCUUGGCCCGGAUCUCCUUGUCCUCUGGGACAGGGGGCAGGGAAUCCCUGACGAUUCCCAUCCUCUGUAAACAAGCAGUGGUCAAGGAAAGAAGCAGGGGGGAAAAGGAAAUAAGCACGAAAGACAACACCUUACCAGAGAAAUGUAGCCCUUCUCGGGGCACAUGGGCACCACCCGGGAGUUCUUCAUAUCCGGGUGCGUCGUCUUCUCAACCCAGGCGGUGAUGUCCGACGCCGAUAUCAGCUCGGCCAACAUCUUCGUUCCGGCCCAAGGGACGUCCCGGGUCAUCUUGAACAUAAAUGCUCGCCGCUGCGCCAGCGGAAGCAGACUCCUCUUGUGAAACGCCGUCGUUACCAUGGCCAUGGUGACACGGGCGUCCCGCAGCUUCUCAAGCCCCGCAAGAAGCGGGGCGAGUCUCUUCUGCUCCUCCGUGGGAGCACCCCACACCCACUUCUGGGGGGACUCCGUCACCAUCUUCCCGGUGUAUGCCGGGAGCAGCCCGCCGUCGUUUCGGAGGUAGAACCACCCGUUCUGCCACCACCUGUUCGACGAGGGCAUCGCACUCCCGAUGUACUGGGAGGACCGCUGCUGGCGGAGCUGCAACGUGCAACUGCCAAUCCGUAGGGUGAACUUCUCCCCUCCCACGUAGCGGGCGGACAUCUCCGCCUUGAAAAGGUGAAGCCAGAGGUUCCAAUGGGGAGGAACCCCUCGCACACCGUGGCGAAGACGGCCGCCUGCAUCAUCGAGUUGGGGUUGAGGUUGUGCAGCUCCACCUCGUAAUAGUGGAGAAUCGCCCGAAUCAGGCGACCGGCUGGAGUUCCGAACCCCCGGUCUAGGAACGACAGGAAGCAAACCACAUAGCCCGGAGGCGGGUUUGGUUCCCUGUCAUUCGCCGAGGGGACAAUCCACUUCGGCAGCUCGACGUCCGUAAGGGGAUGGAGAAUCCCGGCCUUCAAUCGGGCGUCCAGCGCAAACUUGGUCACGUUGCAGGGCGGCCAUGCCUCAAUGCCGGCCAUGGCUUUGGGUGGGGAAGGGCGUCCGCGCGGCAAAGGUGGAAAAGAUGGCGGCAGGAGAAAAGGCAGGAGGCGAGAGCUCUUUUGCGUAGGAGCAGGAGGAAAGAAACCAAGUCCCCUGCGGCCGCUUUUAUAGAGGGAGGACACCACGGCCACACCACCCGCGCAGAAGUCCAAGGGGAAAAAAGAGCAACCGUCGCCCAAUUCACGCCAGGUGAAAAAUUCGAAGCGCCAACUCCCUCCAAUUCUCACGCCCGCUGCACGCGCACAUUAAUUUCGCAGGCGAAACGUCCCAUCCGAUCAGGGCACAACAGCACAGCCGUUUCGAUUCCCCACGCGCCGCGCCUCAAAAGAAGCGCUCUGAAAAGUUAUGUCAGGGCGCUUCCUUCCAAGGGGGCGGCGCUCGACCCCCCGCUGACAAAACGUCGUACGGCGGUCUCCGUCGGGCGCGGCUUUCGUCUCACCCGACCCCAUGAUGACCCCGAGCGAAAAAUCGCAAGGCGGUUCCUGUUAGGCGCAGAUUCCGUCUCGCCCGACCCCGAUGCUGCAAACAAAUCGAGAAAGCCUUUUCAAGGCCAAAAAUCCCCAGGCCAUGGCCACCUACGUUCCAGAGGUUGCGAAGACUGACCUGCAAAAACAGGUUCGAACAGUCGCCUCAGGAUGACUGAGCGAGGGAUGACUGAAGAUGAGCAUGAUAGAGGCCAAGGUCCGAGCCCCACAAGGGGUCGGCGCAUCUUUCCCAGUCAUGUCCGAGACCCAUAGGGGUGUCACGCGAGUGGGAUCCCAUCGAGGGAGGCACCGAGCCCUCGGAACCUAGCGAACGGUUCUGACAUCCACCGUGACUGCCCUUGGGUAUUUUUGAGAUGUGCCUAUAAGGCCACUAGCCGACCCCUAUCGAAUGGGACUCGGACAUCCACUUGGAUCUACCCGCUUGCAGCUCCUAGGGAAGCGUCGAUACUCGCCCAUCGAGGGUAGUACGGUGCAACCCACCCCUCCUCCGAGUGAAAGGAUGAAUGAGGGACGUAAUUACUAAGACAAGAAAGAACCUGAUCGACCCUUAUGGGGAAAGGGCUCGGGGGCUUCCUCACACCAGGGGAACAGGCUCUACGUGUAGAGAACACGUAACCUAUCCCUCAAAUACUCCCGACUCUGUCACUCAGGGGUAAAAGCCUUUGAAGGAAUAACACCAUUCCUCCAAAAGGCUCGGGGGCUACACCCGGCGGGUGCGCUCGCGCGCACCCUCCGAAGGAAAGUAAAAAGAUUCCCGGUCAACAAAGAUCCCUUAGGAAAGAACCUCUGAAGAGGUGACCUCACCACUUCAGAGGCUCGGGGGCUACUGUUGGGUACCAUAAAAAGGGAUACCCAGAUCAGAGCAAUAAAAAAUCACAAAAGGUUAAGCAAGUCCCCCAGGAUCACCAGGACGUGGGCCCCAGCCAUCUACUCCCUCGUUCUCGAGCCCAAAACACGCCUCGCCCGACCCCCUGGACCCCCUGGGCCUCGGGCGCAAGUUCUGUCUCGCCCAAAACCGCAACCAGAGGAGGCAAAUCAUCAAGGACGGAUGGGCAGACUAUGAAGGAGAAGUGGUAAGGUGUGAAGACAUACAGCUUGAACAGAAUUAUCCAGAGGAGACCGUAGCACCAAGUCAGGUGUGAAGAGAGAAGAUAACUAUACACGAAGAAGAGGCGCCGCCGGAAGCACCGACUACGCCACCCAACGAAUCCCAGGACAACUAGAAAACGGAGAGUCCCGUUCGGAGGACUUAAAAACACCGAACGCCUUGCCAAGAGGUAAACUUGGUAGUUAUCCUUUUCCUUUCAAUUAUUUUAAACAGUUUGCUUAGUUAAUCAUAUUCAUACUAUCCUAAAAAGAAAAUAAAAAUGUUAAAAAAUAGUAAGCCCCAUGUGAGUAUACGAGUGGCAUGAAACCCAUAAGUACAUUCACUGUGGUGGCAUAAAAAUAAAAUAAAUAUUUUUUCUGCUCCAUAAAAUAAAAAUAUAAAAUAGAGAGUAAUAUUUAUUGAGGAGGCUCAACAUGAUAAAGGCUAGAUAUUUAUGCUAACACUUAAUCAGUUUCACAAAGCUUUGUUGUCUAUUUGAGCUCCACAGAAUUCAAGAAUCAAGAAGACUAGCAGACGGAGGACAUUCUAAUCGUUGUGUGUCGACUUUCAAAUACACCUCUACCACCUGCUAGCUACAUCAGAAGAAAUUACGUCAAAAUUCAGCUUAGGAGAGAGCACCCCCAUUUAUCCCGCUAAGUAUUUCUAUCUAUCUUUAUACUUAUACUAUAUUAAAAUAUAAUAUACAUAACUAUGAAAAACCAAAUAAAGAUUUUGAGCUUAUAUAUAUAUAUAUAAAAAAAUCUUAAUAAUAAAACUGUAGCAUGCAUAUGAUGAAUAGUUGCUCUGCGUAAUUUUUAAAAUUUGAAGUUCUCUCUCAAGUUUAGACAUAACUGUUAUAAUUUAAAGCUUGCUCUAAACCUAAACUUGUAGGAAGAAAACUUGAUCUGAAGUCUAGGUUGUUAACGGAUAUGAUAUGGGAAGGUUGAGCUGCUGUUUAUCUGUUCCUAGAGAUGCUAGAAUUCUGGAGAAUUUUAUCUUUUAAAAUCUUUAAAAUGUUGCAUGAUGAGUUCCUGUAUGAUGAGAGUUUAAAUUCCUGCCACAGCCAUAUAUACAUGCUUGCUAGACUUUGAGCCACACAUUUAAUUUUUAUUGCAUAUGAUCAUUGAGUGUGGUCAAGCUGUGUAGACCCUUAGGAGCUUGUCAUGUGGUUAAAUCAAGAUUCACUUGCACGUUCACUCACACAUGUUGCUUCUUCUCCGGAAGUACGCAUCCACAUAUAUACACCCAUUUCCAUCUCGAGAACCACCCAAAAGUAUUCUACUCCUAAUCCGCGAGAGAAUAGCCAAAAACAUUUUUGUUUUUUCCCUGUAAAAUAAAUGCUCAAGUUAUCUUGGUUACUACCACUUGCUAUAUUAUUUCAGGAGAUGAGUGCUCUAAAAAAAGAAAAAAAAUACGAGGAAAUAAAAAGGGGCAAGUGCCUGGAACCUCGAAAGAAAAGAAAAAGUGAGACGAGAGGUAAAAAUGGACAAGUGUCCGACAGUAGAAUUAGGGGUACAAGAUACCCACCUAAGAGGAAAGAAAAAGAAGAGCAUCUCAUUCUCCUCACAAAGUUGCAAAAAGCAAAGAAGGUAUUUAUCCCCUCAAAAGAGCAAAAGUAGAAUUAGACUUUCACCAGUGUUAUCAUUAUCAUCACCAUACACCAUUCAUUCACCACACAUGCACAUCUUGAUUUGACCAAUUUGCUUGUUUCUUUGGAUCCAUGGUUUGACUAUGCAAUAAAUGUCUUGUGAGUAUGUAUACUUUAUCCCCCACCUAUGAGCUUAAGAUAUUAAAGCGUUAUUAGAGUAGGGUGAGAGAGAAGGCAAUGUCACUAUGCCUUAUGCCAUAAAUGCUACAUAUUUUGAGAGAAGGCAUAUACCAUCACUGCCUUGGUAAGGAUCCAAAAAUACCACAAAAGAGAGAUCUAAGAGAGUCAUACAAGGAAUCUCUGAGUUUUAUUUGAAAAUCUACAAAAACUCCAGAGCUAUAGCUGAUCAAGAAUAAGAGACAUGGCACUUGACUAGACUGUUCUAUCUUUUAACUACUCAAGACAGAAGUGACGGUUACAAGUCCCAUGGUAAAAGGUAAAAUAGGUAAGUUUUAAGUCUUGACAGUUUACUCUAACUCAGAGAUAAGACCUCAUUUGAAAGCAUGUGUACCGUCAAUUUUUAAAGGUAUUGCAACAACUUUUGAUCCAUCACUGAGAUUAUCCUUGCUUAGGGACGAGCAAGAGGUAAGCUUGGAGGACUUUGUUGACAGUCCUUAAGUAUCAAAUAUAAUUAAUAAAUAAACAAAGAAAAGGAUCCAAAUGCAACUGACAUCCAGACUUAGGGUUUUAUCUGACAGAAUUCCACGAGUUUUGGUGUUUGUCUAUUUCUGCAGGAGGGUUAUCAGGAAUUAUUGAAGAAAGGCCCACACGUCGGGUUUACAUAGAGAUAUUAACGUGUCGCGCAAUUAUCUUACAUCUAGAAGAGUCCAGAAGCCACGGGAACGAACGGGAGACCGGACGGGCUCGGGGGUAGGGCGCCCGCCCUGGCCUUUCCUCCAAUCACGGCCAAUCUCGCGGAUCAUGCUCCACCGACCUAAAGGAUCAAGGAUAAUCGUUCAAUCAAUGUCGGUUUGAUCCGACGGCCCACAUUCACUUGGAAGGACUAUAUAACCAGACCCCCUGGCCCCUGGAGGAGAGCACCUCUCAACCCUAAUUCAUUAUUCAUCAGGGAGAAGAAGCCUCUGAUCAAGCCCUAGAGCCACCACAUCAAUUAGAUCUCUAGAUUAGCAUAGCUACAUAGGAUUAGAACUAGAAGGAGUCAAUCUUCGAUUGGUUUCCGGAUCUGUCAAGAGGAUUAUUGGUAAUUCUCUAUUGUUCUUCAAUUGUUCAUCUUUGUUCUUCAAUAUUAUGAAUAUGACUUUGUUCUACUUCAACAUAUUGAUUAUGACUUUGCUCUACUUGUUUAUAUUCGCAAUUAUAUUGUUCCUAGUUUAUCAUAGUUAUAUACUUGGCUUAGUUAGAUUGGAAUUAUAUACAUGUUUAGGAUCGUAUAGCGUUUAUCCAUCAGAUCUAUGGGUAAAUGAUAGAUAUUGUGUAGGCGUGGUUCUUAUACGGUAUUUAUCUGCGAUUGUACCCUAUAUGCCAAAUCGCGAGGUAGUUCGUGGUAGUGACAGCUCCAUUGAUUCUUAUAUAGUCCCCCUCUCGUGUAUUGGGCUGGUAGAGCAACAUUAUUACAGGGGAGUGAUUGCGAUGUUUCUCAUAUUCCUUGAUAAUAUCAGUAUGCAUGGGCGUAGUCCUGUCUCACAAUGAUUGCUAAGUAUAAUUGCACUAACUAUGAUAUGCUAGACUGUAUAGUUGAGAAUAACUUAGGAAAUAUUCUUGUAGUUCGUCCUAAUACCAUGCUAACGACUUGCUAGAAUAUCUAAUUGAGGUGCUUAUCAUAUUUAUAUGUGGCUAAGUUAUGCUGAUCAGAUUAAUUAUCUUUGUCACUAUCCAUUACUUUAUAUAUCCUUUAUGUGACACUUAUCCCUAUAUGAAAGAGAUAGAUAAAUGUUCUCAAUUAUACAUGCAAUGAAAGAUACUCAAUCUUAUAUUCCAUUCUAUAAUCAACAUUUAUGAUUACUAAUCCCUUCCUAGUGGUAAAAAUAUAAAUAACGAUAUCUGGAAUACUUUCUGGUUAAAAUGCUACAUCGGUAUUAGUCUGUGCGCUUGCAGAUCCCAUUUAUUAUUUAUUUAGAAGAGCAAUUGCAUAUUUCAAUACCGCGUCUUUCAUGUCAUGCUGGGGAUGACAACUUGGCUUAAGUGGUAUGAGGGAUAGGUUUGGCAUUUUUGGCGCCGUUAUCAGAAUUAGAAAACUAAGUCUACUUUUGGUAGUGACGUUAAGAAUGCCCAACAAGCAGCAGAAUGUCAGGUACAGCAACCAGAGUCGGAAGAUGAGUCAGCGUUACAACAACAACCAAGUGCAGCGCCCCGCUAGUCAAGCGCCUCGUCAGAAUGCCCCUGCACCAUCAUGCUCUCACCAAAACUCCAACAUUGUCCCAGCAAAGCCCAAUGCCAACCCCACCCCACUGGAAAUACUUGCUUCAAGUGUGGUCAGCUUGGACACUACGCGAAUGCUUGCCCCCAGAUGCAGAAGAACAACAACAAUGGAAGGGUGAAUCAUGUGAAGCUAGAAACUCCUAAGGAGGCUCUAGAUGUGGUAGUUGGUACGUUCCUUGUCAACUCUUGCCCAGCUACUGUUUUGUUUGAUACUGGAGCAUCACAUACUUUUAUAAGUGUACAGUUUUUUGAGAAACAUAGUAUAGCCACUUGUACCAUGCAAAACACCAUGAUAGUUAAAUCACCUAGGGGAAAGAUGCAUACUAAUACUUUGUGUCUGGGAAUGAGCAUUAAAAUAAGGGGGGUAGAUUUUCCUGUCGAUCCUAUUGUGUUGGGUUUAGAAGGUUUAGAUAUGAUUUUGGGAAUGAGAUAGUUGGCCAAGUUUAAGGGUACUAUUCAGUGUGGUGAGAAGUCAGUUGCUCUAACAGCACCUAGUGGGAACAUAAUUGAGGUUAGAGUUUCUAUGUCACCUAGCAGUGAAGGAACAGUUUACCAUGUGAGCAGUGGGUCAGUAGAGGAUAUCCGAGUUGUGAAAGAGUUUCCUGAUGUGUUUCCAAAGGAUUUGCUAGGUAUGCCACCUGACCGUGAGAUUGAAUUUAUUAUUGAUUUAUUGCCUGGUACUGCACCCAUAUCUAAGAGACCUUAUAGAAUGGUUGUUAAUGAGUUAGAAGAACUUAAGAAACAAUUAAGGGAGUUACAGUCUAAAGGGUAUAUCUGUCCUAGUUCCUCACCUUGGGGAGCUCCAGUUAUCUUUGUAGAAAAGAAGGAUGGGACACAGAGGAUGUGUGUAGACUAUACAUCUUUGAAUGAGGUCACAAUUAAGAACAAAUACCCUUUACCUAGAAUAGAGGACUUGUUUGACCAGUUGAAAGGAGCUUGUGUGUUUUCCAAGAUAGAUCUGAGAUCAUGUUAUCACCAGUUGAGGAUUAAACCUAGCGAUAUUCCAAAGACUGCCUUCACCACCAGAUAUGGACUUUAUGAGUAUACAGUUAUGUCAUUUGGUUUAACUAAUGCUCUAGCUUACUUUAUGUAUCUGAGGAAUAAAGUUUUUAUGGAGUAUUUGGAUAAGUUUGUGGUAGUCUUUAUUGAUGAUAUCCUGAUCUACUCCAAGACUGAGGAAGAUCAUGAGGAACACCUGAGAUUUGUUUUGUAGAAGUUGAGAGAACAUCAGCUCUAUGCCAAGUUGAGUAAGUGUGACUUCUGGUUGAAGGAAGUGUCUUUUCUGGGUCUUGUCAUUUCAAAUGGUGGAGUUGCUGUUAGUCCGAAGAAUGUGGCAGAUGUUCUUAAGUGGAGUCCACCUCAGACAGUUGGAGAAAUCAGAAGUUUUCUAGGAAUGGCUGGUUACUAUCGGAGAUUCAUUGAGGGAUUCUCUAGUAUUGCUAAGCCAAUCACUGCUCUGUUAGAAAAGGGUAAGCCAUUCAAGUGGAAUGAGCAGUGUCAGGCUAGUUUUGAGGAGUUGAAGAAGAGGUUGACUACUGCACCAAUUCUGACUUUGCCUGAUGUGACUAAAAGUUUUUCUAUCUAUUGUGAUGCUUCCAAGCAAGGUUUGGGAUGUGUACUGAUGCAAGAGGGAAAGGUGAUUGCCUAUGCAUCUAGACAGUUGAAGAAACAUGAGGUGAAUUAUCCGACCCAUGAUCUUGAGUUAGCAGCGGUGGUCCAUUCACUGAAGAUCUGGAGACACUAUAUUCUGGGUCAUAAGUGUGACAUUUACACGGAUCACAAGAGUUUGAAAUACAUCUUCACUCAGAAUGACUUGAACUUGAGACAGAGAAGAUGGUUAGAAUUGAUCAAGGAUUAUGAACUGGAGAUUCAUUACCACCCUGGCAAAGCUAAUGUAGUUGCUGAUGCUCUGAGUAGAAAGAGCCAAGUGAAUAUGUUGGAAGCCACGGAGUUACCAAUGGAACUACUGGUACAAUUUGAAUAUCUCAAUUUGGGGUUUGUUGCCAACACCCAAGGUACUUCUAUGGAUAUAGAACCAACCCUUGAGCAAGAUAUCAGGAAGGGUCAGAAAGAGGAUGAAGAGAUCAAAAGGAUUCUUAAGUUGUUAGAGGAAGGUAGAGCACCUGGAUUCAGAGUUGAUCAGGAAGGAAUUGUUUGGCACAAGGACCGAUUGUGUGGUGCUUAAUAUUCAGAGAAUCAAGGAUGUGAUACUGAAAGAGUGCCAUGAGUCUGCCUACUCUAUUCAUCCAGGAGGUACUAAGAUGUACCAGGACUUGAAGCAACAUUAUUGGUGGCCUGGUAUGAAGAAAGAUAUUGGAGAAUAUGUGGCAUUGUGUGACACUUGUCAAAGAGUGAAAGUGGAACAUUAGAGGCCAGCAGGAUUGCUGCAACGGUUGAAGAUGCCCGAGUGGAAAUGGGAUGAGAUCAGCAUGGACUUCAUAGUGGGAUUGCCUAAGUCUCAACGAUGUUAUGACUCUAUAUGGGUUGUAGUAGAUCGAUUGACCAAGGUAGCUCAUUUCAUACCGGUCAAGGCUACUUACCAUGGAGGGCAGUUACCAGAAAAGUAUAUGGAACGAAUUGUGUGUCUACAUGGAGUUCCUAAGAGAAUUGUAUCUGAUAGGGGUACACAGUUUACUUCCAAGUUUUGGGAGAAGCUACAUGAUGCAAUGGGAACCGAACUCAGAUUCAGUACAGCUUAUCACCCUCAGUCCGAUGGUCAAACCGAGAGAGUCAACCAAAUAGUGGAGGAUAUGCUCAGGUCUUGUGCUUUGCAGUAUGGAGAUAGUUGGGAUACUAGUUUGCCCUACGCUGAGUUCUCCUAUAACAAUAGUUAUCAGACUAGUCUUAAGAUGACUCCUUUUGAUGCCUUGUAUGGAAGAAAGUGUAGAACUCCGUUGUUCUGGAACCAGACUGGUGAAAGGCAAGUGUUCGGCCCUGAUUCAUUGAGAAUAGCCGAAGAGAAAGUUCAGUUCAUCCGACAGACUUUGAAAGCUGCUCAGUCUAGACAGAAAAGUUAUGCAGAUGUGAGACGAAGGGAACUUGUGUUUUAGGCAGGUGAUUACGUAUACCAGAAAGUGUCUCCGAUGAGAGGUCUAAAGAGGUUCAAUGUCAAGGGAAAGCUAGCUCCUAGAUAUGUUGUUCCUUUCAAGAUUUUGGAAAGUAGAGGAGAAGUGGCUUAUCAGCUUGAGUUGCCUGCUAGUCUGUCCAAUGUGCACAAUGUUUUCCAUGUCUCCCAAUUCAAGAAAUGCUUGAGAGUGCAUGAGGAACAGUUGCCAUUAGAGGAACUGGAUUUACAGGAUGAUCUAACCUAUGAAGAUAGUCCUAUCAAAGUUCUGGAAGCAGUAGAGAGAAUUACCAGGAGUAAAACUAUCAGGAUGUGUAAAGUACAAUGGAAACAUCAUUCUGAGGAAGAGGCAACUUAGGAAAGAGAAGAUGAUCUGAUAUCAAAAAACCCUCAGUUAUUCGCUGGUUCAUCCUAAUCUCGAGGACGAGAUUCUUUUAAGGGGGGUAGGUUUAUAACACUCCAAAAUUUGAAUUUCAAAUUUUAGUUUAAAUUUGAUUUAAUUUUGGCUUAGUUUUAAUUUUUGGGAAUUUAUUAAAUAAUUUACAAAAAUAAAUAAAAUAAAAUAUAAGGUAGAAACAUGCUUGUGUGCAUUCAUGCUGCUGCAUAAUUUUUUUUGCUUGAUUCUUUCUGCUUAUGCUUGUUUAAGUUUUGGAGCAUGAAAGGAAAUAGAAUAAACUGUUUAAAAAAAAGAGAAAAGGGCAGCGCCCCCUCUCCUGGGCCGGCCUCCCUCUCCCCUCCCCUUCGGCCGCGGCCUAGCAUGCAGCAGCGCGCGGCCUAGCAGCAGCACCCGCGGCCCGCAGCGCAGCGGCCCAGCCGCGCAGCAGUGCCCUAGCGCGCGCCCCGCUCGCCCGCUGCAUCUGCCACCCGCAGCCACUGACGCGUGGGCCCCGUAGGUGGGACCCACCGCCGUCUCCUACCUCCGGCCGAGUCGGACUCAGGGCGCAACCGCCGCCCCGGCUUCCGCGCCCGCGCGCACCCCUAGGUUCGCCGCGCCCUAUAAAUAGCGCCGCCACUCACCCUCGCGUGCCCCUACGCACCCCGAGCCGCCUAAAGCCCUAACCCUAGCCCUAACUCGCCGAGUUCGCGCCGCCGCUGCCUAUACUGCCGCCGCCGUUGGCCUCGUCGUCGAACCCAUCGCGCCGCCGUCCCUUUCGCCAAGGUGAGCCAAGCAUCGAGUCCGUCGCGUCUUGCCGACCCCGCCCGUGCCUCCGGCGUGUUCUCCCGUGUGCCAAAACGCCAUCCCGGUGAGCUCCGGCCCGCGGCCAUGCCGCGCCGCCGCGGCCGGCCGUCCGCGCCGCCCCGCCCCGCAGGCGCGGUACACCGUGGACCGCGGCCUAUCGCCCGCGCGCGCGGUCCACAGCGCCGCCAUGGACCGGCCAAUCGCGAGCUGCCACGUGGCCGGCCAGCUCGGCCACCCGCGCCGCCCCCUGCGUUUUGCAAAAAAGUCCCCGCCUUUAUUCAAAAUUAACCCGCCGUCCUAUGCAGUUCAAAAAUAAUUAGAUUUAUGCCCUUAGUUUUGCAGUUUAACCCCUGGCUCUGUUUGAAUUUAUAGUUUUCAUCCAAAUCUCUUUUUAAUUCAGUUUUAAUUAGUUCUAAUUACGAAAAAUAGUUCAGCUAAUCUACAGAUUUGUCAUCCAACUUGUUUUAGCCAUAACUUUUGCGUCUUAGCUCCGAUUUAGGUGAUUCUGGUCGCUAUAGUUUUCUUUCGUCGAGUAGAAUACAGUAGUGCAGUUGCUUUCUGUUUUCGAAUGAUUUGGUGUACUAUUUCUGAUUAAGCUUGUUUGUUUGCAUGUAUUGCUUCGAUUGUGUGAUGAUUGUCGCAUAUAGCCAACGAGACGCUCGUGAAGGAAGAGGAUCAGGAUCCCGCUGAGUUCGAGCAACCCGACUACGAUCAAGGCAAGUGGAGACACCGUUUGAUCAUUUUGAACCUACUCAUUAAUGUCAUUUACUUUAUAUGGAUGUGUCCAAUGAAUGCAAACCCUAAGGACAUGACUAGCUUUACUUACCAUUCCUUGUUCACCUGGGGUUAUGUAUAUUGGUAGUCUAGGCUAUACUAGGUUUGCUUAGCUGCUCUACUCACUUACACACAUGCCUAAAACAAGUAAUCCUCUCUACUCAACUUGAUGCUUAAACUGUGCUGAAUCUUUGGUCACUGCGGUGAUGGCGAUGUUGGAUGCUUACAAGCAUCGUGAUGAUGGUGGUGACAGGGGGAGCGGGUACUGUUGGUGGUCCGGUUUGCCGGGCGUACCCGUCUCUGCUCUCCGUAAGGACUUCGUCAUGGAGCGGCCCCCUAGGAAAUACAGUGCAGCUCCAAGCUAUAUGGCUCUAGCUUGACUAAUUAGCAGGACCUCCACUAGUAGGGUGUUACUUUCUGGGUAGGCGUGAGGAAGUAACUUGGCUAUGGGUAUCGACUGUCGAGCGCCCCGGCAAAAACUUGCGAGUGGCAUCCUAUUAGUUGGACCCUGUGAAAGGUCUCGUAGUGAGACCCUGCCUGCUCACCUUGGCAGUGUUUUGGGGAGUCAUGACACCGGGCAAAUGGGAAUCACGAUUUGGAGUGAACGUGCACACCUCUGCAGAGUGUAAAACUGAUAUAUCAGCCGUGCUCACGGUCACGAGCGGCCCAGACUCUCACAUGAUGAGCAAAUUGGAUUCACUGAUACUUGGAGAUGGAACUUGGCGAGGUUGCUACCUCGUGUUUUGGCGGAAUGGCUAUUCCGUGUUGGCAGGAUUGCUAUCCUAUGUUAAUUAUUGGGGUUAAUCCCUGGACUGUAAUGAUUAUUAGGUUAGUCUCUAAAAGAUGCUAAUUACUACUUACACUAAUUAAGGGUUGGGUUUAUGCUACUCAUAAUUAGUAGUAGGUUGUUCUAAUAACAGUCAUAAUUAAAAGUGAUCAACUAAAAUGCUACCUCAGUCAAACCAAGUCAGCUUUACCUUGUUUUAAGCCUUGCAUGUCAUUACUUUCCGUCUGUGCUUGCUGAGUUCGACAUGAGCUCACCCUUGCUAUAAUCAUUAAAGGUUGCUCGGACGAUCAGGAGUACAAUUGUGAUUUCCCUGAGGACUACCCUGAGUCACCUAGUUGUUAGGCUCGUGUGGUUCUGCCAUCGACCUUCCUGUGGCAAGGUGGUCCUGCUACGUCGGCGUCUAGUUCCCCUUUUCUUUAUGGAACAAUUUAGCUUAUGCUUCCCAUUCGCACUUUGAUAUACAUUUUGGCUUGUAAUAAUGGUACUCUUACUCUCAUUUAUGUAAUACGUUUGAACACUGUGUUUUGUACCAUUGAUGAUGUCAAUCUAUGUGUGUGAAUUUGAGAUCCUGGCGCACAUGUGAUUUGGCACCCGAAUGUUCUUUUACAUCCGGGUGUGACACAAAUCCACUUGGAAUCACUCCCAAUCUCACAAAGAUGAAUAAUCUAUGAAGGAGAUGAGUGGGAUGUGUUUGCUUAGGCUCACAAGGAUGUCUAGUAGUCAAGAAUGCCAAGAGAGUGAGCCCCAAACCGGCCAAACACGUAUAUAUAGCCCCUCAAACAAAUUGAGUCGUUGGCUCUUUCACUGGGCAAAACACGGGGUCACCGGAUGCUCUUGAAAGGGCACCGGACGCUAGCCAACGUUAGCCACGUGUCGCCUUUUGAAACUCUCAUGUCAGAGUCUAAUGGUAACCUGCAGAGCACCGGACGCUGAGCAAGUUGCCACCGAUCCUAAACUCAGGAAGGUCUGCAAACGCACAAGGUCACCGGACGCUGAGCACCGGACGCUUCAGCCUACGUCCGGUGCUCACCGAACUUAAACCCACGGAGCACUGCAAAACGCACGGACAUUGGACUCAAACACCGGAUGCUCCAGCCUGCGUCCGGUGCCUAGCGUCCAGUGCCUUACCCUAGCUGAGCAAGGCAUUAUCAGCACCGGAUGCUCAGACUCAGCGUCCGGUGCUCUAGAAGUCAGCGUCCGGUGAGUGUUCUUCAGCGAGAAACACUCCCGCGACUUGUCCAACUUUCCCACCGGCGCAAUAGAAGAUAUGCACUUCAUUUUCUUGAAAAGCGCCGAAUCCACAUUCAAACUCCACCUCCUUUCCAAAGUGUGCCAACACCACAAUGUGUAAACCAACAUGUGCACGUGUGUUAGCAUUUUCACAAUCAUUUUCUUCGAAGGAGUUAAGUUAGCUCACUAGGUUCUAAAUGCAUGCACAUGAACAAUGACACCUAGUGGCACUCGAUAACUGCUUAGCCAAAGAAUUCCCCUCUUUAUAGUACGGCUAUCUAUCCUAAAUGUGAUCACACCCUCUAUGGUGUCUUGAUCACCAAAACCAAAACCCUAAGCAAUACCUUUGCCUUGAUUUCCAUAGGGUUUUGUUUUUCUCUUUCUUGUUUUCCAAGUUGAUCACUUGAUCAUCUUGUGGUCAUCAUCAUCAUCACCAUGGUCAUCUCUUGCUCCAUCACUUGGCAUGUACCAACCUUAUUAAGUCUACACACACUUAGUAUAGAGGUUAGUACUAGAGUUUCAUCAAUUAUCCGAAACUAAACUAGGGCUUUCACCUAUUCUUGUUCUUGCAUAGCUACUGGACUGAAACUGAAUGUGUUUACCUAUAAUUACUGCAUGUUCUUGCAUAGCUACUAGACUAAAAAUGAAUGUGUUUACCUACUGGCUGCUGUUAGCAUCUGAAAAAUUAUUAUUACUACAACUACCCUCUACCAAUCUAACUAAUAUUUCUCCUCAUAUAUAGGGUACUAGUUCUUCUCAUGUUGGCUCGGAUUCAACUAACGAUGACAAUGCCACAGAUGGCCAAGAUGAAGACAAUGCCGCACGCCGAGUUGCACUGGAAAUAGUGAACCGCCAUUGUGGAUACCAUGUGUUGACACUUCUAACACCACUUGGAUACUAGGUUGUCAUCCCCAGCAUGGUGCCAGAGUGUACAAAGGUAUUUAUGAAUAUGGAGGCUCUCUAGAAAAUAAUCUAUUCUAUCCACAAGCGCACAGAUAAAAUACCUCAUUGUAGCAUUUCACCAGGAAAGUAUUCCAGGUAUCGUUAUUUAUAAUUUUGCUUAAGAGGACAAGGGUGAAAUGAAGAUAAGGAUUUAAUCUAUCAAGGCAUAGACUAGAGAUAAACUUGCAAGAACAUGAUUACUAAUGAGGAACUCGUCACAUAGUCACUUAUUUUGGCAGGUGGUAAGCCAUAAUAAUAAUGAUAAUGAAAUAUAAGCUCAUGGGUAAAUAACACAGCGAUUAGAAAAUAGACUACUCCUCAUAUAUGUAAGGUGACGUUGGAUUAGCUAGAGAAUGGAUUCUAAGUUAUCCACUAUCUACUAAGUCACAAUCUACUCUAGUUAUCUACAAGAUCAUAUAUAGUAUAAAAGACUCUUCAUUCAUGUAUAAGGAACAUUGCUAAAGUAAAUCAGAGCAUCGCAAGACUUACUCCGCAAUACAAAUUCUGCCUGUCCUAUCAACGGAGGGUGGACUAUAUAAGAAUCAACGAAGUUGUCACUAUCGCGAACUACCACACAACCCGGCCAAUAGGAUACAUUUGCAGGUAAAUAACAUCUAAGCACCACGCCCACAUGUGAUCUACCACUUAACUCCCACGUGUCAAGAGCUAAGCGCUUUGCAAACUUAUACAUAAACUCAUUAUCAAUCAUAACUAUAACAAAUAUAGAACUAGAGCAAACUAAGAGCAUAAUAAAUAGAGACAUAAAGCAAUUAGAAUAAAGUAGUAGAGAAAGAUAUGAAAUAAUACCAAUCUUUAUGAUGAAGAUCCAAAUCUAGAGCACUAGGCUCUACUUCUCUAAUUCUAUCUAAUCAAUCCUCUAAACUUGAAGGAUUAGGGAGUAGCUAAUUCUAAUUCUCUGUGGGAGAGAAGUUCUAAACCCUAACUUUGAUGGCUACCUCUGAUAAUGAUUUCUCCUCUCUCCCCCUAGGGUGGAGAGGCCUUGAUUAUAUAGUCCUUUCAAGUGAAUUUGGGCCGUCGGAUCAAACCAAAAUUGAUCGCCCGGUUUUCCUUGAUCCUUUAGGUCGGUGGAGCAUAAUCUGUGAAGUUGAUUGUGAUUGGCCCCGAGGCCAGGGCGGGCGCCCAAGGGGGGAGGGCGGGUGCCCUGUCCCUGAGCCCGUCCGGUCUCCCGUUCAUUCUCGUGGCUUCUAGACUCUUCUAGAUUAAGGAAAAUUGCGCGGCCCAUUUAUUAUCUCGUUGUAAACAUGACAUGUGGGCCUUCUCUCCAUAUUUUCUGAUAACCCCCUGCAGAAAUAGAUAAACACCAAAGCUCGUGGAAUUCUGUCAGAUAAAACCCUAAUUCUAGAUGUUUUGUGCAUAUUGAUCCUUUUCCAUAUUUAGUUGAUGGUUAAUUUUAGUACUUAAGGACCGUCAACACCAUGCAUGAAGGUUGGAGUCAUCACAAUCUGAUAAUGCCAUUUUGUGUGUUGCAGAAGCUGUUGGUACAUGCCACUUCUAACCUUUAGAUAGUAAAGGUGCAGCCAGGUAGUUGAUGCCAAUUUUUGGGAAGAGAAAUCAACUACUGCUUUUGUAAAAAUAUUAGAUGCAAGACCAAUGGACAUCUUAUUUGUGUGGCUGUUGAUGCAAGACCUAGGACAUCUUAUUAUGUAGCUGUGGAUGCAAAAACUAUGAGCAUCUUAAUUGUGGCUAUUGAUGCCAGCUGUAGGCUUCUAAUCUGUAUGUCAUGUGGAUGAUGACAAAUUGAUGUAAUAUAUUUGUGUUCUAGCUGAAUAGUAUGGAAUUGUGAAUAAGAUUCUUUUCGGAAUGCAAUUAUAAAAAAUAUAUUUUCUGUCAGUUUGUUUGAAUUAUCCUGGAGAGUUGACAUGGAAAAAUUUUAUUUUCUGUCGGGCUAAGGUCGAUGGAAAAAUAAGUGUUUUCCUGUCGGUGUUAGUUCUGUUUUUCUGUCAUUCCCCAACCGAUAGAGAACGUAUUUCCUUGUCGGUAAAUUUUUUUCCUUGUUGUCAUCUUUCGACAAAAAAUUUGAUUCUAAAACUGUCGACAGCGAAUUUUCCUGUCGGUGGUCAACUGACAAGGCAAAUAACAUACCGUCAGGAAAAUGGUUUACCCGAGAGAGAAAAACUUAUUUCUUGUCGUGCUAGGCCGUCCUAUCGGUGUGGGAACCGACAGGAAAUUUCCAGUUUCUAGUAGUGACCGGGAUGUAAAAGAGCAUUCGGAUGUCAAAUCACAUGUACGCCAGGAUCUCAAAUUCACACACAUGAAUCAACAUCAUUAUUGGGUAUUUUAAACGCAAACAGAAAAAAUCCGCAAGCACACGGAUACCGAUGUAGCUUUCACCCGGCAGUAUUCCAGAGUAUCGAUUUUCCACAGAGAACGUGAGUGUACUAAUUAAGAUCCAAGAUCGCCCAAGGAUAACUAUAUAAUUAUUUUUGGUGGGAAGAGAGGAAGUUUCCUGAGAGUUCUCUAGUUGAUCUAAGAAUCAAGAAUUACUUCAAGAUUAUCUAUUUCGGGACAUCAGAACACUAACCACAGAAAGAGAUGAGAAGGGGGCUAGGAAGCUCUAACUACGAUCCUACAAACACCGAUCCGAACGAGGUGGAAUACGUCGACCAUUAGAGCUGUCACUACCCUAGGGCUACCACAACAAUCCGCAGGAUUGGGUGCAAUUCCAGAUAAUUGCAAGACUAAACACCACGUCUAAUCUAUUAAUUACUACUCUAAUGUUUCAAAGAUUAGAGCACUUGAUGCAAGCAGGAAUCCAAUAAAUAACUUGAAUGUAAAUAAAAGUAAUUAAAGAACUCAGGAAUUGUGAAUUGAAGAACCUGGAGAACGAUGAAGAACAAACCAGUUGCUGCAAAAGUACAAUGUUGAGGAAGAUCCGACAGAUCCGGCUCCUCUUCCUCCGCUCUCCUCUUCUCUCUCCCUAUUUUCUAGAUUACAACUAGAACUAACUAGAACUAGAGGAACUAGAACUAGAACUAGAUGAACUAGAACUAGAUCUAGAUGAACUAGAGGUAGAACUAGAUGAACUAGAGGGAUCAUCUCUACUUGGAUGAAGAAUUGAAACCCUAACUUUGAUUCUGUAGAAGAGGUAUGAUCUCCAGGGGCCAGGGGGCCUUGCUUAUAUAGUCUUUUCAGGUGAAUCUGGGCCGUCGGAUCAAACCGACAUUAAUCGCAUGGUUUUCCUUGAUCCUUUAGGUCGGUGGAGCAUAAUCCGUGAAACGGGUCCGAAUUGGACACUGUAGCUGGGCGGGUGCCCUAAGGACUAGGGCGGGCACCCUGUCCCUGAGCCCUCUAGGCUUCCGCUUUGUUCUCGUGGCCUCUGGAGUCUUCUAGAUGGUAGAAAAUUGCGCGGCGCGUUAAUAUCUCUAUGUAAACCCGACGUGUGGGUCUUUCUUCCGUAUUUCCUGAUAACCCCCUGCAGAAAUAGACAAACACCAAAACUCGUAGAAUUCUGUCAGAUAAAACCCUAAGUCUAGGUGUUGGUUGCAUAUAAGUCCUUUUCCAUGAUUAGUUGAUGGUUAAAUAUGAGCAUUAAGGAUCGUCAACAAGCUCCCCCAAGCUUAACCUUUGCUCGUCCCUGAGCAAAGAUGGACUCAAGAGUUUUUGCAGUGGUUUCAUGCCUUAAAGAUACACAUGCGUUCAAACAAGAUCUCGUCUCUGGGUUAGGGAAAACUGUUAAGAUUUAAACUUACUCAUUUUACCUUCCACCAUGGGGCUUGUAACCGUCACUUGUGUCUUGAGCAGUUAAAAGAUAGAACGGUCUAGUCAAGCGCCAUGUCUCAUGUUCUUCGAUUAACUAUAGCUCUGGAGUUUUUGCAGAUUUUCAAAUAAAACUCAGAGAUUCCUUGUAUGACUCUCUCAGAUCUCUCUUUUGUGGUAUUUUUGGAUCCUUUCCAAGAUAGUAAUGAUAUAUGCCUUCUCUUAAAGUAUGUAGUAUUUGUGGUAUGAGGCAUAGUGGCAUUGCCUUCUCUCUCACCCUACUCUAAUAAGGCUUUUGAUAUCUGGAGCUCAUAGGUGGGAGACAGCUAAUACAUACUUACAAGACAUUUAUUGCAUAGUCAAACCAUGGAUCCAGAAGAAUAAGUCAAUAAGUCAAAUCAAGAUGUGCAUGUGUGGCGAAUGAAUGAUGUAUGGUGAUGAUGGUGAUAACAAUGGUGAAAGUCUAAUUCUACUUGUGCUCUUUUGAGGGGAUACACACCUUUCUUGCUCUUUUGAAACUUUUUGAGGAGAAUGAGAUGCUCUAUAUUUUAUUUUUCUUUUCUCUCAGAUGGGUAUCUUGUACCCCUAAUUCUACUAUCGCACACUUGUCCAUUUUUACCUCUCGUCUCACUUUUUCUUUUCUUCGAGGUUCCGGGCACUUGCCCCUUUUUAUUUUCUCGUAUUCACUUUUUUUUCAGAGCACUCAUCCUCCUAGAAUAAUGUAGCAAGUGGUAGUAACCAAAAUAUCUUGAGCAUUUAUUUCACAGGGAAAAACAGGAAUAGGAGAAUGUUUUUGGCUAUUCUCUCCCGGAUUAGGAGUAGAAUAUUUUUGGGUGGUUCUGGAGAUGGAAAUGGAUGGAUAUAUGUGGAUGCAUACUUCCGGAGUAGAAGCAGCAUGUGUGAGUGAACGUGCAAGUGAAUCUUGAUUUUAACCGCAUGACAAGCUCCUAAGGGUCUACACAACUUGACCACACUCAAUGCUCAUAAGUAGUAAAAAGUAAAUGUGUGGCUCAAAGUCUAGCAAGCAUGUAUAUAUGGUUGUGGUAGGAAUUUAAACUCUCAUCCUACAGGAACUCAUCAUGUGUUAUUUUAAAGAUUUUUCAAAGAUAAAAUUCUCUAGAAUUCUAGCAUCUCUAGGAACAGAUAAACAGUAGCUCAACCUUCCCAUAUCAUAUCCGUUAACGACUUAGACUUUAGAUCAAGUACUCUUCCCACAAGUUCAAGUUUAGAGCAAAUCUUAAUUAAUAACAGUCAUGCCUAAACUUGAGAGAGAUUUCAAUUUUGAGAACUAGUCAUGGCAGAGCAACUAUUCAUCAUUUCCAUGUGAGAGCUUAUCAUGAGGGUUCAUAGCAAACUUUAUUUAUUUAUUUAUUUAGGAAACUAAGCAAAGAUAUAUAUAUAUAUAUAUAAGCACAAAAUCUUUAUUUGGGUUUUUAUGAUUAUGCAUCUUUUUAUUAUUUGAGUAAAGUAUAAACGCCAAUAGAACACUUAGCUGGAUAAAUGGGGGUGCUCUCCCCCAAGCUGGAUUUUGAUGCAAUUUCUUCUGAUGUAGCUAGCAGGUGGUGGAGGUGUAUUUGAAUGUCAGCAGUACCUUGACAGUGAUUAGGAUGUCCUCCGUCUGCUAGUCUUCUUUGAUCCUCGAAUUUUGUGGAGCUCAAAUAGACAACAACGCUUUGUGGAACUCUUGGCAAGGCGUUUAUUGUUUUUAAGUCCUCCGAACGGGACUCUCCGUUUUCUCAGUCGUCCUAGGAUUCGUUGGAUGGCGUAGUCGGUGGUUCCGGUAGCGCCUCCUCUUCAUGUAUAACUAUCUUCUCUCUCCACACCUGACUUGGUGCUACGGUCUCCUCAGGACAGUUCUGUUCAAGCUGUCUGUCUUCAGACAUUACCACUUCUCCUUCGUAGUCUGCCCAUCCGUCCUUGAUGAUUUGCCUUCUCUGGUUGCGGUUGCGUCGUCUUCUUCUUGUCCUGACCUGCUUAGAGUCUUCAACUAUAUAGUUAAGGUCAGUAAAAUAGCGGCGUACCUUCUCAGAGGGGAAGUGCAUGUUGACUUCUCCGGUUCCAAUGUAGAUGAUUGCUUUAACGGUGCUGAGGAACGGUCUCCCAAGGAUGAUGGGUGGAUCGUACUCGCCUUCAACCUUUCGGAAUGUCUAAUCUUCCAUCUGGAGCUGAAUGUAUGUCGGUUUUAGGGGCAUGGUUCCGAAUAGAAGCUGAUAGGUGACUGGGUCGUCCUUUUUGGUCCGGAAUGGUGACUUAAGUCGACGAUCUUGACCUCCUCGAACUGUAGUGACCAUCUUAGCUGACUUGGUCCACAUUUGCUUGUUCUUGUUCCUCCUGUUGGUCCUCUUCCUCGGUUCAUGUCGGGAUUGCUUUGAGAUUUGUGUAGUCUUGUUCUUGAAGGAAAACGUCUCCUUCCUCCCCUUGAUGUAAAAACUGAUCUUGGCAGUACUAGCGUAGAUGACAGCUCCUGAGGUGUUCAGGAAUGGCCUCCCUAGAAUGAUGGGUGCCCUCUCAUCAGUACCAGUCUCUAUCACCAUGAAGUCUGCUGGAGCGUACAAGGUACCAACUCGGACGCGGAGGUUCUUCAAUAUUCCCUUUGGGAAACUUAGCGUACGAUCUACAAGCUGCAAACACAUGGUUGUUUCUAAUAAAGGAUGUGUAAAGAACUUUUCAUAGAGUACCAUGGGCAUAAUGUUGACGCUGGAGCCAAAGUCGCAGAGUGCUUCUGGAAAGUCCACCAUGCUGAUGGAGAUCAGGAUGAUGGGGUGUCCUGGGUCGCCUCUCUUGACCGGCAGAAGGUCAGUAAUUACUUCCACAACGGGGUUACUCCAGUAGUUACGUCCUCAAGCAUCUCAGGGCAGUGAUUGCCUGAGUGUCCAGUAUCUCCAGUGUGUUUGUGCUUGUAGAUCAAGGUUCUUCACUUGGUGGAGUCUGGGAGUUGCAAAACUCCUUCAUAUUUUGCUCGAAGUGUACCUGCUCAUAGAGACAAGGCAGAGAUCAAGUGC
rnacentral:lncRNA from 1 species